rnacentral:lncRNA from 1 species
CCCCCACUCGAUGUUGCCUCAUUUGGUGGGAGACCUCAUCAAAAAAUUCCCUCACAAUUCCCAACUAUAUAUAUCACACAUAUAUCCAUGCAUAAUCACCAACAUCUAGUUUCAACAACUUUGACUCAUCAAAUCACCUCGCAUUGCUCAGGUAAGUCCAUAUAUAUAUUGAUUGUAGAUAUAAUUUGUGAGAAGAAAUUGCAAAAAUAAUUGUGCGGAUCUUGAAAUUAAGUUUUGCAUUAAUAUGGCAGGGUAUAUAUAUAUCGAUGGGUAAGAUGAUGAGGAUGGUUUUAUUGGUAAUGAUGGUGGUAGCUAUGAUGAGCACUUGCACGGUGGAAGGCAGGAGAAUUUCGGCGGCGGUGGAGGUGGCGGUGGCGGAGCAGGAGGAUGAUGGAGUGGAUAGUGGUUUGGAGGAUAACCACCAUGCUUACUCCAUACCUGACUUCAACAGGCAAGGUGGAAAACCUCCCACCAAAAACUGAUUAAUUGCUCUCUCUUUCUCUCCAAUUAUAUAUAUAUAUAUAUAUGUGUGUGUGUGUGUGUUACUGUGUGUGUAUAGAGACUAGUAGUUUGUGUAUGUGUGGAAAUUAAUAAGCUGCUCCGGAGAUCCGUCUUCUCUUGUAUAAAUAGCAUGUUCGGCGUGAUGACGAGCCAUAUAUAUGUAUAGCUACGUUCCAACACCAGCUCUCUCUCUCUCUCUCACACACACACAUACAUAUAUACGGACAAUAAAGGAUAAAAUAGGAAAAACUUUGCUUCUUAUCGAACAGCUGAUCUGCUGAUAUUAAACAAGCAUUUGCACUUGAAAUUAAAUAAAGCAUAUGGAAAUAUAUACGAGGACUUGAAAGCUUAAAGAGAAAUCUAAUGAAAUAUUUAUAUCAUUACUUUGGUUUUCUAAAAAAUAUGAAUAAAUUUAAGUCACGGUUUCAAUUAUCCUGAUAGCGUUGAUUUACUCUUAUCCGUCUGCAUCUUCAUUUAAAAGGAGUUUACUUUGAAUUAGAGAUAUUAAGUGGGCCAGACCGACCCAAACCCAUCAUGGGCCGACUUCGGCCUGAGCUGAUAGAAAAGGGUGAUUCUAUUCAUAGCCUCAUUUUUACUCUUUAUAGCCUCUUAAUUAAAAUAUAUUAAAAAUAAUAAUUUAUAUACUAGUUUACCCUCGUAGUCAUACCUCCCAAAUUCAAUUCUUCAUCUCACGAAUUUCGUAGCCCCCAAAUUCCAAGAUACAUGAAGUCUGCAAAAUUGAUAAAUGUAAAACACAUUAUAAAACUUAUUGUGCAUUAAAUGCACAGAGGAAGUGAGAUGAAGACUCAUUGCUGGGUUUGAGCAACUAAUUCUAAUUUUACAGAGCACUCCCCCAACAUCGAAGGCAAAUACACAUACAGAUACAGAUGAAUAUUGCUUUCACAAAAAUAAAAUGUUUAUUAAUCAAAUAAAAAUUGAAUCUUGUUUAUUUUCUCAGUAUAUUAUUGAAAUUGUAGUAGACAUACAUCUGUGAACAUCGAGAAGUGCUCCUAAAAUUCACAGAGUGAGAGAGAUGCCGCUCCUGACUUUCCGCCAUUGAUGGAUGAAGAAAUGAACUCCCACAAAUUAUGCUAAAUUCACAAUUGCAAUUAUUCAAUAUGAAAUCAACCCAUAUCAACACAAUUUCAAGGGGCUCGAUUAUCUUCUUAUCGCUUUUUAUUCCGACGACUUUCCACUUCUUCUUCUUCUUCUUCUCCUCUUUUUCUUUUUCCAGAUACGAGGUUCCUUUUGGGAAUAUUGGUGGCUCUAGGGUUCUAAGGAUUUUUUAGGAAUUUAAUGGUAGAUUAAGGAUAAAAUAGUAUAUUCCUUAACUUUUGUAUUUUAUUUUUUUUAAAAGGCUAUAAAGAGUAAAAAUGGGGCUAUGAAUAGAAUUACCCGAUAGAAAAAUGAGGCAGAAUUGGGUUGGCCCAAUCAUUUAAGACGGGCACCAAUUGAGCCAUUUAUCAACCUCCAGCCUUGCCGUGGCCUGAAGGCCCAAUGAAAUACCAUUAAAAAUAUACUUUAACAAUAUAGUAUAUUGUAAUAUUUAUUAAAUAUAAAUUCAUAUAGUAAUUAUCUUUUUCUAAUAAAUUUAUCUUUCGAUAAUCUAAAUUUAAAUUUAUUGAGUCUUGUCAAUUAACCUUAUAGAUUAUUAUUCAGACUUAAUUGUCUUUCAUUCAUUGAAUUUAAGAUAAGACUAGAAACGAGAAGUCAAGAAUGCAUCUUUUUAAAAGUUACGAAGACAAUCAAAAUAAAAAUUGUGCAGAAGAUAGAAACUAAAUAGAAAGUGUGUAGAAAAUAUAAAAAAUAAAAUAAUUCAAUAACUAGAAAGUAAAACUCCGAAGUAAAAGAAAAAAAAAUCAUAUAAAAUUUUACUUAUAUAAGCCUCAAAUAAAUUCAAAACCUAAUGUAAAUUGUGCACAAAAAUCAAAAUAAGUAGUCCAACCAACUGACCAAGCCCUAACCAGUAACCACUUACCAAAUGGGCCAUGGAUAAGCUUAGUCUCACGCCAUAAUGGAAUUGGCCGGGCCUUGGUCAAACCAGCUCUCAUUCCUUGCAAGUCAGGGCAUGGACCGAGGCGGUCCGAUUCAAUUGACAACUCUCCUUUGAACGAUAGGAUAAAUUGAUAAAAUAUAGUAUUAUUGAAUAUUUGAAGGAUAAAAUAUUAAAAUAGUGCAAAUUCAUUUAUCUAUCAAAGGAAAUGGAGAUUAAUUUUGAAUUACUUUUAUCUAUCUAAUAUUUCAAUUCAAAUAAUCAUAUCUAACCAUUUUUUUGCUGAUUUCAUACCCACCGAGUAUAGUUGUUUUUUCUUCUUUUAGGCAUACCAAGUACGAUUGUUAGGCCCCAACUCCCACGUAUGGCCUGGCCCAACUAAUAGACAACAUUUCACAUUUUGUAGAAGUAUUGUUUUGGUCAUGUUAAUUCAUAUAGUCCGUCUCACAAAAACAUGAACAGUUGUAAUUGACACGAAUUUUAAGAAAUACUCCCUCCGUCCCACUUCAAUAGGUUCGUUUUCUUUUUUGGGAUGUUCCACUCCAAUAAACUCAUUUUUCAUUUUAAGUAAAAAAAAAAUGUACUUAAUUGGUGUGGACCACACCACUUUUCUACUAAAAAGUAAGUUUUCUUAAUUUGUGUGUCCAAAAGAAGUGAGCCUAUUGGAGUGAGACGGAAAGAGUAUUAGAUAAAACUGUAUUGUGAAUGAAAAAGGAAUCCCACUUUAUAAAAAGUAGAGAUGAAAAGUAAAUGAAUUGUGGUGGAAUAUCAAAAUAGAAAUGCUCAUGUUUUUUGUGUAACGCUCCAAACUAGCUAAAUGUUCAAGUUUUUGUUUUCAAAUUUUUGUUUGAUCAUGCAUGACUAUAUUUUUAUGAAGCAGCACUUUAAAGUAGUCAAUGACACAUCAUAAGAAAUUAUAGCCAUAUAAAUGUAAAUAUAAAUAUAAUUAUUAUUUUUAUCUUAAUAUUUUUAGGUGAAAAAAUCGAUAAAUGACACAAAAAAAUGUAUAAAUUCACGUAAUAAUUUAUAUUGUUACACAAAUUUUGAUUAGCCUAAAAAAUCCGCAUAAAGUAUGUAAGCAUGUAAGGACAUAAUAUUUUAAAAUGACCAUUAUUUUUAUAUGUUUAUGUACAUGAGAAUUUCCUUUUCCUAUAUGGGACAAAUUAAAUUACAUAUAAUUUUAUUUUUUAAUCCUACGUUGUUAUAGUAGAAUUAGAAUGAAUUUAAAAUAGAGGUAUUCACCAUAUUCUUGAUUAAAUUUUUCCAACUUUUGAACUUAUAUGACUAAUGUUUAAACCUGAAACUGCAGCGAGAACAAAAUCUGUGUGUUGAAAUUUUUUAAAAGUUCAAUCUUCAAUAAAAGAAUUCGAGAGGGACGACACGACAACAAUAACAACAACAACAAACAAAAAACAUGACGAUAAUACAAAAAGGAUGGCAGAAAUCCCGCAAUAUAUUAGCCGAGAGAAAGAGAAACUGUUUUCCAAUACAAAACACUGCCACUACGUUGAAAUGUCCCUUUAUCUUACAUUUCUGGAGAAUUAUGAGAGGUAUUUUGCUUUUGCAACUUUCCAUUUUCCUAAACCUUCCUUCCCAAUCUCACCACCUUCUUUAAAUUUUUUCCUUUCAAACAGUAAUUUAUUUCUACCUUAAUUUCUCCAAAGUCUACAUAAAAAUCAUCAGCCAACAAAGUCCCGAAUGAUCUGACCUCCGUAAUGCCUCAUAUGCCUCUCCUGCUGCAUUGCAGGCCGCUGACCGCCCUCGGGGCUUUGCCGGAGACCCAAAGUCAGAGACACCGACCCUAUCCCGCCCAUCUCGAUACCAUUCCGGUGAGACGGCACAAACCCCAUCAACGUCCCAUCAACACUGCUUGGGACGUGGUACUCGAUUCUUGAACGCUUUUCUUGACCCCAUGGGCUCGCCUUCGACCUAUCCCCCUCUUGCCCGGGAGGGACAAAACUCGAGCAUUCGACCUGCUUGUCUGGGAUCGCACGCGUUCUCAGCCUUUGGCUGCUGUCGUCGGCUUGGGCACAACCUCCAUCCGCAGUUUUGCCGUUACUGCUUUUGCCAGAAUUAUCAGACCCUUUGGUUUCGAGCAUGUGUAUCUCUUCGACCAUCGGCUUCCAUACACGAACACGAGCAUUGAUAAACCAGUUAGAUACCUGAAUUAUUCAGCGAGAUACGGGAUCAAUGAAGUGAGGCCCGACUACUAUGUAUACCUAUUAUAAAUUAAAGAGCUGCGUGUUAUCAAAGAUAGGUAGAAUUACAAGACCUGAUUUCGAGUUAGGCCGGUCUGCGUGGCCAGCAUAUGCUUGUCUGUGUCUGUAGGAUACCUUCAUAUAUAAAACAUUCAAUUUAGCAAAAUGUCAGAUGUGUGACAUGAAAGAGAGAGAGAGAGAGGACGUGUGUCUUACGGAUGAAGAAAAUGAUCGAACAACCACGCUCUCAAAAUAGAGACGGCGCGUUCCGGUAGACCACGCUGAGGCCUCCAGAUAUGCUGGCCUUCAAGAAUGCCAGUCCCUUUCUGCUUUUGGAAGCCUUGGUCGAAAAACUUCAACACCGAAGCAUUAGCAUCACCCUUGUUGCCGCCUGCCCCAGCAGACGGGGACGAAAAUUCAUCCCUCAGGGCGUUUUUUAUGCUCUUGAGCUGAUCCGUUAUCGUGUUCUUCAAACACCGGAAAUGCUUGGCAAUCAUCUUCAGGGCUAACGACACGUAAGGAGUGGCAGCGCUGAGGCCGGCCACAGACUCAAAUGAUGAAACCACCAUUUGCAUCUGCUGAUGAUACUGUUUAUACCUUUUGCAAACCUUGUACAAAAUUGGGAGGAACAAAAACAAUUAGUCACUUGCAAAUGAUAGGUGACACAUCUAAUUAGGGAAGGGUGAAAGAGAGCAUUAAGCUAACAGUGUUCCAAUUAAGAAAAAGCCUAUCUUGUUGUACAACCACUUACACAAUCGACCAAAACAUGUUCAACAAAUUAAUUAAAAUUUGCCAGCUAGCUCUAUUAUAGGGAGAAAUAAAGCAAUUGAUCACCAAAUAAAGUUGUUUAUUUAAAGCUUAACAACACUUUGACCUAAUUAAUCAACAUACUAUUUGAGGGUGAUGGGAAAGAAGACUAGACAACUAAAUGUCUCAUCAUAUGCAAAAGCUUUUACAUUUUAACAUAGACAGGUCACAUGCAUUUCACAGUUUGAGAAAUUAAAAAAUUAAUAUACGAGAGUUAUGUCCCACAUAUUCUUCUGCAUGCAUUGGGUUGUCAAGUUUUUACCUAACUAUGGUCUAAAAUAACGUCUCCGAAAAUCAUUAUAGCUCUAGACAGAAGCAAGAAAAUGGAGAAUCAAUGUACAUGUUAGGAAAAUAAAGAUAAUUAUAGUUCCCUAUUCAAAGAAGGAGGUUCACAAUUGAAUCAUGUACAUCUAUCUCUAAAUAUUCAAUUGAAAUAAUGUGGUUGAAUGAAGGAAUAUAGGAAAUUAAACUCUACAGAUCAGAAAAUAAAAACUUAAAUGUGGAAUAUUUUAAGAGUACUCUCACUUAAUAAACCAAAAAAAUAUGAAUUAAAAUGAAGCAAAAUAAGAUAAGUAAAACCAUAAACCCCUUAGGAGGCGUUUACUUUGGAGGAUUAACGUUGAUAGAUAAAAAUAGUAAGGUUAAUCUCGUUUUUACAUUGAUGGAUUGGAACUUUAUGAUAUCCCAAAACCCUUUAUUAUUUCAAUCAUUUGAGCUAAUGAAGCUUGAUUUUUAUCUCAUUGAAAAGGUGAGAUUACAGAAAUCAUUACGAUAAAAAUACUCUAUCAUGCAUGCAUCAUAUCAAUCGUGCAAAAUAAAUGACCCCUUAGCAUACUAGUGAAAUAAUUGAAUUAAAUACCAAAAUUGACAAAGACACAUCAUCAGAAAACUAACAGUUUAUCACAGAAACAAAACAGGUAGGAUCAAGAAAAUUGGAAAUUUUUAAAGUUAAUUUAGAAAUAUUUCAACAAAGUGAUUCUUAAAAUCCAAGAAGACCCAUAACAGGCUAAUUAAGUCUGCAGAAAAUAUUGCCCCAUGCACUUUUCUCGACACCAGCUAGUAUUUGUCUUUUACUAAGGAAUCCAUAGGAGUAUCACCUAAGUAAGUCCUAAGUCCUAGCCAACCAUAAGUCAUAUUCACAAUCGGAAUUGAUGAUUUUCAUAGUAAUAAAGCAUGAUCUCUUUUCAUGUUUAAGGCAUAAAAGUCUCAAUUAUUAACCAAACCAUAGUCAAUAAUGGCAACUCAGACAAACGAGCAUCGCAAUCAACUUUCUCAACUGAUCACAUGCACAAGCAAUGCUAGUAAUAAAUUUGUACCACCAACAUCCAACUCAAAAGCAAAAUUAAUUAAGGCCCCAUACUAGGAGCAUUACCAACCUCAUCCUGCAUAAACAACAGCUUCGCCUUCCUCUGAAGAUUCUCCGGCCGACGAGCAUCCGUCGAGCAGCUCGUACCCCCGGCAUCCCGGCUCUUAUCGCUAGAACCAUUGUACACGAACGAGGACAAGCCGCCGGAGUUGUUACCGGCCAUGGCAUGUUCAGCAUUAUUACUAGCACCUUCACUGGAAACCCUAACCUCCUCCAUAAUCUCGUCAGAGACAUCACAGGCUUCGACCUCUUUAGUGCCGGCAAUGCAGCAAAGGUCCUCCAACAGCUGCUGCGCCGGCCUUAAAAACCUCGAGCUCCGGAGGAUGGUUGCGUAUCCGGUGAACGGGCCCAACGGGCCGGGGUUCCGAUGAGUCGAAGCUUGUGCCCCUAAAACUCUACUACCCGCUGACAUAUUUUGAUUCGGAGACGGCAACUCGGGCUUCCAAAUUCUUGAAUCUUGAACAUUAGUACUCCCACAGACAUCUCUAGUCUGAAAAUCUCUCUCAGUAAUCUGAGCUUCGUGGACUUUGGGCGAUGGAACCGACGAGAGCGACAGUGAGAGUGCUUGAGUGUUGGAAUGAUCUCUGUCGAGAUCCUUUGGAGCGGCGAAUUCGAGCUCGCCGCUCCAUUGGCUGCAGCCAUCCACAGGCCUAGUAAUCAAGCCAGAUUGGGUCUUGAGGCGCAUUUGAUCGGGAAGAAGCAUAAGCUCACUCCCACCAACCACCCAAGGUCCAUGGCCGGCCUCCCCCGAGCUCUUGUGGCGGAGGGAGGCGAAUUCGAGGCCGAAGGAGCGGACAUUAUUGGACGAGGUAACGAGGUCUUGCAACGCAUUCUGGUAAAGUGAGGAAGCGGCGCCAUUCAUGUCUUGAUCAUAUCCUAGAUAAUUAGGCUUAACAUCUAAUGCUGAAAUAGGAUUAGCAUAAAUUGAGGAGUGGUUAGCCACCCAAUCGCAUGUGCUAAAGUAUUGUGGGUCACUGCUACUCACAGUGGCUGAAGGGCUAAACGACGCGGAAAGGGGGCCCGUUUCUCGGCCCCCAUCAAGCCGUCCUUGAGCAGUGGGUUCACAGAGAAAUUGAUCAUCUCCGGGCAGAGCUCCGACGGAUCGUAGCAUAUGUUCCCGUUCCGACAGCUACGGACGUCGGCGGAGGAGUCGAAGUUUAAGGCAUCGUGUGGGAAAUUGUUGGCGUAAAUAUCUUGCUGAAUUCUCAACUUGUCUCGACGGCUUUGCUGCGCGAUGUGGAGAUCAGGCCUAUAGCUGUUCAUAUCCACCAGCAAUUUCACUCUCUAAUUAGGUCAUACUCAAUACUUAUUGCAACCGCGCACCAAGCUAUUUUCAUCAAUCCUGCAUGCAGUAGCACUGUAUAUCAGUAACAAAACUACAAAAAAAUAAAAAGCAUGAAAUGAAACAUGAAGAAGAAGCAGUAGUUGAUGAGUUUGAAGUACUCACAUAUUCUAGAGAGAGAGAGAGAGAGAGAGUAGUAAUUUCAGUAAAAGUAAUCUAAGACCCAGUGAAAUGUGGACAAAAGCUGAGGGGAAAACUGUGAGAAAUCCGAGUCUGAAGCAAGAAAGAGAAAGAGAAAGAGGAGAGAGCAUUUAAUUGAGGUGAACCAUGUUUCUCAUCAGACAAGUGUACAGUAAAGAGACUUGGAAAUCACUGUUCAAUCAUGUGGCUCAAAACUUGCAGUGAAGACAGAAAAGCCAAGCAAAAUCUUCAGCCCAAAACAGCAAUGAAUUGAGAGAUGAGCAAGAAAUCAAGGGAGUAAAUACUGUACCCAAACCAGUAAGGUAUAUCUAUAUGUUUGUGCACGGUAAAAAGAUAAAAGCUUCACGUAACACCUCCAAACCCUAGAUUUCGAGAUUUGAAUUUACGGAUUCUUCUCCCCAAAAAAACAUCUCAAGAACUGUUACAGUGUAUUCAUAGUAAAUCCCAACCCCAGAUUCAUGAAAUCAAACACUGAUCCAUCGCUCCUGCCAAAAUCAUGGAGAGAAUCUGGAAAUUUCUCGUUUUCUAGCUUGGAAAUAUCUCAAACAAAAGAAACAAAAACAGUGGAUUCCUGAAUCUGCAUGUACAUAUGCAUCUUCGGAAGUUCAUCAUCAGAUUCAACAGAAGAAACACAUCGAAGAUAUUUUAAAAGAGAUAUUUCAAAGCUCAAAGAUACGAGCUGAAAAAGGGUUUGACGCAAUGAGAUAUUGGAGCUUAUAUACUUGUAUAUAAUUACCUGCUUCAAUCAAUCCAAAUCGAAAAUCUAAGCGAAGAAAAGGAGCGUGUGGAUUUUCCGAUGGAUUUUCCGGCAAAGAUUCCAAGUUAGAGUUGUUGUGGGGUAGGAGUGGAAGAGAGCAGGCAGGGCUAGGCAAGCUGUAUGAGUUGAGGUGUAGGACAAUGAUUGCUGCUCAGUUGAUUAUUGCCGUUUGGCUUUUCAAAUAUAUAGACUUAAAUUCAAAUUAUUUUCUCAACCAUAACCAAAUUAAUACAGUACUCGAUUAUUAACAAUUUAUGUGACGGACUAAUACCUGAUGGUAUGCGUAAUUAACUUGUGUUUUAAGGAUGGAUUACAAAUGGAAUUCCCCCCGUUAGUUAGAGUUGACGGCGAAUAUCUUGGGACUGUUUGAAUUGGGCAGAAAUCUAUCAAAUUUGACAUGGAUGGAUCUUCAAGGAAAUCAAGAUUGAAAAAUCGUGCUCCAAACGGGGCCUACUCCGAUUUAAUAAUUGCCGAUUUGAAAGAGGGCAGGGGGUUGUUUGAAUAUGCCCCUUAAUUAAGUGAUUAACUACGGAAAUGCCAUCUUUAAUUAUUCACACUGAUAUUUACCAGUGGGGGUAUUUAAUGGAAGUCCUGUUGCAUGAGCUUCUGCCCUGAUUAUUCAGACUGUUAUGGGGUAUUGGUUAAAAUCUCGUAGGUUUUGGUUCUGCACUGGUAUUUACUACUCCACCAUGUACCACCGUAUACCAUUCUUAUUAGUAUAUUAUAAUUUUAAUUGUUUUUUAUUUAAUUUUAAUUUAUUAUGCUUUUAUAUAAUAUAAAGAUAAUUAAUAAGGAUUCACUCAUCCAUUUAGAAUUUAUAAUUAUUUUUUUAUAUUCAUUUGAAUUAAUAAUAAAUUAUUUGGGUUCAUUAAUUCAAAAUUAGGGUAUAUAAUUUUUUCAAUAAUAAAUACUAAUUAGAGUUUAUAAUAUAAUAAUAAUGACAGAGGAUCCCAUCUGAUAAUUACUAGUGGGAGUAUAAUUUAUACUAGUAUUAUUUCGAUUGUUGAUUUAAAUCGUUUAAUUAAUUAAUUAUACUAAUAUAUUAUAAUUUUAUAAUAUAAUAUGUAUUUUAUAUCUCAAGAAAAUAGUAUUUGUAUAUAAUUAAUAUUCAAAACGACUAGGCCAACUCCAAUAUAUACCUUUCUAUUAAUAUAAGUAAUGUAUUUUCGGAGUAAUAUAUUUUUAUAAAACAUACCACAUAUUUUCAUGAUUAACGUGCAUUGCACAAAGAUCAAUAGUUGGAAUAAAUUCCUAAUUCUUGUAUUAAUAAAAGUUUUACUCCAUGAUCUACUUCUUGCAUAUUAAACUACAAAAAAAAAUAGUUUUAAAGUUUAAAUAAGAAAAAUAAAGUACAUUUAUUAAAAAUUGUAAGAAUAGUAGAAUACAUAUAGGGAGAAUAUAUAUAUAUAUAUAUGUGUGUGUGUGGAUGCAUUAAAUCCUACUAUAUAUUAUCACUUGAUUUACAUUAAUUAAAUAUUUGGAUGCAUUAAAUCCUAUAUAUUAUGUUUUCACUGCUUCUCCUCACUUAUAUAGAUGUAUAUUUAUUAAAUUUCCUUUAUAAAAUUAUACAAUAAUAAAUUAAAUAUAUUAUUGAUCUUUAUUAAAACAGAAAAAAAUAUAUAUAUUGCUAGAUAGAUUGCAUAGAUAUAGAAUAGGGGGUUGUUAACAGUGAAACCACAUUUUAUUGUGACAACUGAAAACACUACACUGACUAUACAAACUUAUUCCGAUCGCUAUAAAAUUAAUUGCAAUUGAAAAAAAAUAACUUUUUAUGAUAUUCAAACUCGAAUGAUGCAUUUAUCCAUCAAAGUGAUGCAUUCUUCAUAAAAUAUGGCGAUCGAAGGGCUUGCAAUUAUUCUCAUGGUCACAUUGUAAAGAAUCAUUUAUAAUUUAUUUUUAUCAAAUAGAUAAUUUGUUAAGUUAGUUAUGAAUUAUUUUUUAAUUAUAAAGAUUAUUUUUAUUGUCUAAAAAUAUUUAACAAAUAAAAUAUUUAAAAUUAUUAUUUAAUGAACAUCGCGAGCCUGUUCGUGAUCUUAUUUAGGAAUAUGUUCGUGAACAGGCUCGUUAAAGUUCGAGUCCAAAAUGUACAGGCUCGAGUUCGACUUGAUAAUUUUAUUGAGCUCGGAUUCGGCUCAUUUAGAAACGAACGAAUUUUGAACUAGCUUUUUUUCAGUCAAACCCAUAUAAUUCGUGAACGGCUUGGGUCGCUUACAACGCUAGCCCCCGUCUAUCCAGACGCCAGUUGCCAGAGAGAGAGAGAGAGAAGGAGAGUGAGAAACAAGAUGGAACCCUUCGUUAUGCAAGAGAUAAAACGAUCGAACAUAACACAAUCAUUCAAUCGUUAAAAUUCAGUACCGCGCCACCAAAUCCUUCGUCUCCACCGCUAGUGCAAUUCCCUAACAAGUUCAAAAUAGUGGUACACUAGUAUAUACAAACAACAUCUUGGUACUAAUCAUUAUCUCGAUCAUCUUCGAGACUCAGUGUCACAAAUUAAAUUAAACUUAAUUCUCAAAAAAUUAAUUAUGAUCGUUUCGAUUUUCCGACGAAUAGUAGUUCGUGAUGCCAUAGCUACGCCGGAGCCGCGCCUUCAUGAACGAGUCGGUGCAAACGAAUAGUCAUUCAUGAUGCCAUAGCUACGCCGGAGCCGCGCCUUCAUGAACGAGUCGGUGCAACCGCCAGAGGCUCCGGAUUUGGAGGAGAAGAAGUCAAAGCUUCCGAUACUGAAGAAGUUGCCGAAAUUAAUGGCUUUAGUAAAAAUAUAGUAUAAACUAAGGAUAGUAUUGUAAUUUUAUAAAAAUUGGUUGUUUUAUUAAUUUUUAUUUUAAUAAAUAUUUUUUAGUUUUGUUAUACUAUAAUAAUAGAAGUUUAAUGUAUUGACUUUAUAAUUUUGAUUCCCUGUGUCCGAACUUUUGAAUGAAAUUAUCUAAUCGUUUAAUAAAAUAAGAAGUUGAAAUUCAAUAUUUCUAUAUUUCAAAAAUUUAUGUUCAAUUGCAAUAUUUUUUAUACCUACUCUCUCCGUCCCAAUAAUAACGUUUUUUUUUUUUUUGCGUUCCAUUUAUAAUGUCUCGUCCCAAUACAAUUUAUUUUAUCUACUCUCUUUUACUUUUUCACUACUUUCUUUAUUCACAAAAUUUCCUGUAAGCCCCGGUGUACGGUACACCCGGGCUCGUACCCGAUCCGGAUCCUGACCUGGAACUAACUCAAUUGGACUAUACUACCUGAAUGUCAUGUCUUAAUGUCAUUUUACACGUAGUGUUAGUGUCAUUUUACAUGUAGUGUUAGUAUCCUUUCAAUAUAGUGUUAGUGUCAUUUGUAAAACAAAAUAGUGUUAGUGUUAUUUUCAAAAUAACAUCAUUUGUAAAAUAAAAUAGUAUUAGCGUCAUUCCAAAAUCGUGUUAGUGUUAGUGUUAGUGUUAGUGUUAGUGUUAGUGUAAGUGUCAUUUCAAGAAAAAAUGGAUCAGGAUAGUACAACUAGGUCAGGAUUCAAGUCGGGUACAACCCAGGUGUACGGUACACCCGGGUGUACAUGCAGGAGACCUCCUCUUCUUUAUUACUCUACUCAUUUACUUUAUCUACAAUUUUUUAAUUUGUAUAUCGUAUUUUUGAGACAGUAUUAUUGAGAUUGAGCGAGUAAUAAAAAUCAAGCUUAGGAUAUACUCCCUCCGUCUCUAAAAUAACUUCCUCUCUUUCCUUUUUGGACGUCCCCCAAAUAACUUCCUCUUUCUUUCUUUCAAUUUUUAGACAACUACCCCACUAUUAAUACUCUCUCCAUCCCGCUAUUGAAGUCUCCUUUCUUUUGGGCACGGGUAUUUAGGAGACUAAAAUUAAGAGUUAAAUUGUGUCUUCAAAAAACUUAAUGUUAAUUUAAUUAAGGUUCUCUCUACCCACUUGUAAAUUACCACCGCACCACCGUCGGUUAAUCACCACCGGACCACCGCCUGCACCACCCAAAUCGGUAAAUCACCACCCAAAUUUGCAACCCCACCCAAAUCGAGCUCAUAAAUCUGCAACCCACCCAAAUCGAACUCAGAAAUCAAACGAUUUCCCCCAACCAAAUCUGCAACCCAAAUUAGGGUUUAUGGUUUUGCAGAGGGUUAGGGGAGAUCAUAGGCGGUGGCUCUGUGCUGGAUUUGUGAGUGAAAGGAGAGGCGACCGUGGCUUCACUGAGCGCCGGAGUUUAGCAGAUGGAAGAGAGAGAGGCGAAUACGGGCGGCGAGGCGCUGCAGUCACCGAGGGAGAGAAGUGACAGAUCCGGCAUCUAGCAGAGAGAAGGCGUCGGAGGAAAAGGUGAUGGUGGAGGUGCAGAGAGAGAGAGAGAGCCGAGAGUCACUUUGUAGAUGGAAGGCACGAGAGGGUAGAGCCCUGGUCGCCGGAAAACGGGCGGCGAGGCGCUGCCGUCACCGAUGAGAGAAGUGACAGAUCCGGCGUCCAACAGAGAGAAGGCGACAGAGGAGAAGGUGAUGGCGGAGAAAGACUUCCUCCGACGACGAGCAGGGGAAAGGCAAGUGGAGGAGAAGACGGCUAGGGCGGAGAAGGUGGAGGAGAAGACUUCCUCCGGCGACGAGCAGACGGCGGGCGGUGGAGACUCAGGCGCAGAGAGAGAGAGACGAGAGAGAGAGAGAGAGAGAGAGAGAGAAUAGAGGGGAAAUGAAUUAAUUAAGGUUUAUUAGUUGUACAAUUAGUGGCUUAUUUUAAUUAAAUUAUGUCCUUAUUAUUUCCUAAAAUAGAAACGAGACAUUAUCGGUGGAACAACCCAAAAAGGAAUACGAGACAUGAAUAGCGGGACGGAUGAAGUAUUUAUUUAUUCUUACUUUUCACUUUCGCCACUCUCUAUACUAAUUAUUACACUUUUUCACAACUUUCAAUAAUAAUUAUAACACUCUUUCUUCAUUAUCAAUACACUUUACAAUUUUUUCCUUAAAACUCGUGUCGUAUCCAAAGAGGAAGUUAUUUCAGGGACCAAGGGAGUAUAAAUUGUAGUGGUGGUAUUGGAUACAAUGGGUGUACCGUACAAUCGGAUUGUACCCUUACUUAGACCCUGACCCGCACCUUGAUUUGAACCUAUGUAUUGACUCGAAUCUUAUAAAUAAUACUCCCUCCGUCCACUAAUUCAUGACCUAAGUAGCAAAACACGGAUUUUAAGAAAAAAUGUAUUUUUAUUAGUUGAGUGGAGAAAGGGACCCACAAUUAAUGUAUUGUUUAUUACUUGAGUGGAGAAAAAGUGUAUUGUUUUGGGACUCACCAAUUAAAUAUAAAUAAAAACUUACUAAAAAUUGAUAGGCCUUGAGUGGACGUCCCAAAAAGAAAAGAAGGCCUUGAAUUAGUAGACGGAUGGAGUAGUAAUUUGGAUAUGGGUCAACCCGAUUGUAUCCAAAUUUCUGCGUAAAUUGUGAACUUAUAUUGAACUAUAGCUAUUAACUUUUACUAGUUCAUUAUUAUUAUUAUUAUUAUUAUUAUUAUUAUUAUUAUUAUUAUUAUUAUUAUUAUUUUCAACAAAAAAAAUAUACUAAUUCAUUAGAUAUCGAGACAUUUUAGUUAACAUAUUAAAAGUUUAGAAAAAAUAAUGCUAAUAGUAUUUUUUAAUUAAGCUUUGUUGAAUUGUUCGUCAGUUGAACUAGUGUGGUAUCAAAGUAAACGGAUAAGUCCCUCCGGCAAAGAAAUGUUUGAGCAGCAACCGUUAGAUGGUGAAGGGGAGCAAAUCCGACGGCGAAGAUUGCAGGGAAAAGUUUUAUCGUAACUUGUAACUGGGAGUUUUGGCCGUACAGUAAGAAGAGGAAGCAGCUUUUUCAUGGGUAAUUGGCGAUUUGGUGACUGCAGUGAAGCAAAAGAUCUCCAAGCAGAAGGUGGCCUGUCACCGUCACCCCAGGUGACGCAAUCAUCUCUCCAGAUUUACAGCCUGUCCUUUUCACAUCAACUUUCAAUCAAAUUUCCAGUUCUAAUAAGAGUUUUGCGUUUAUUUGUUUGCUCAUAAACAGAAUUUACUUCCAAUUUUAUUCUUUUACUUUUACAUUUAAGAUUUUGAACUAAGUUGUGAAAAAUAGCAUAUGGGAUCUUUCCUCCCACUAUUUUGUGUGUACCAUCAUGUACCACUUUUAAUUUAUUAUAAUUUUUAAUUAUAUUUUCUUCAAUUUUAGUUUAUUAUGCUUUAACAUUAUAAAAAGAUAAUUAAUAAGGGUUCACUCAUUCAAUUAGGGUUUAUAAUAAUUUUUUUACAUUUAUUUGAAUUAAUAAUUGAUUAUUUCGGUUCAUUAAUUCAAAGUUAUGGUAUAUAAUUUUUAAAAUUUCAAUUUUAAGUUAUAUAUAUUAAUUAGAGUUCAUAAUAUAAUAAUAUUUUUUUAUAAAAAAUAAUUAUAAAAUAGAUAAAUUAAGAAUGGUACACAGUGAUACUGAUACACACAAAAUAGUGGAACAGAUGAUCCCAUCUGAAAAAAUGCCUGUAAUCCCCCGAUCAUCACUCUAUUUUUUUCCUAAUUGUUGUUCUAGCAAUUAGCAAAAAAAGUUCAAAUAAUUUUCCUUUUAUGCAACAACCUCGCUUAGAAUUAUACUUAAUUCUCGUUUCCCCUCGAAAAAAAAAAAGAAGUAUACUUAAUUUUUCAUAUCGUAACUGAAAAAAUCAUCCACUCCCAAUAAUUAAAAAAAAAUUCAACUGGCACAGGAAAUAUUUGGUUUUGUAUACUCGUUGCAUAUCUUGAAUGAUCUACCAAAACCAAAUUACAAAUAGAAGUCUAAUGCUACUUGAUUGUAUAUAAUCUUUUACCGCAUUAUAAUGAUAUGCACGAUAAUAGUGAGCCAUUGUAAUGGCCAAUGGGUGCAUUUUUAUACGAGUGACUAAGAGUGUCGACAACAGAUCUCUCAAAAUUUCACUUCUACAAAUACUCUUAAAAUCUUUUCUAAAUUAUUUUUAAUCCUUAUUUUACAAUUGUACAAGCAGUUCUAUUUUUUAUUAUCUAUUUUAUAAAUUUAUGAAUUAGAUUUAAAGGGGUGUAAAUUUAGGAUAAGAUUUGAGCGGGUGUAAAUUUUUUUGUGGGCUCAACUUAAUAUAGGUGAUAUAUAUUGGAUGAUCUUUUUAUUUCACUUUGUAUUAUUUUAACUCAAAUUUUAAGUUAUAAUUACUUUUAAGAAAUCUGUUGUGGAUGCUCUAAGAUAUUCAAUCCAAACUCUCUUUUACCAAUUAAAAUGAAUAGAUUUCAAAAUAUUUUUUUUACAUAAAUAAAAUGCGUGCCUUAAAAGAUGCUUAUUAAAUACAGUACGAUAAACAGAAAUAAAAAUAAUAUCAUGUAUUUGAAAUUCUGGAACAAGACUUAACUUGUUUUCAAUGGAACAAAAAUAUUGAUCCCUUUUCAUUUAUUUCAAAAUAAAGAUAUUAAUUUGUAAAUACACACAAAUUCAAUUUAUUCAUGAAUUUUACAUGAAAUUUAAUUUUAGUAUGAUAAUAUGUAAAUUUUAAUUUUGUUAUGAUAUUACCACAAAAUUAAAAUCCUCAAAUUUAAAUCUGUUUUGAAGUAAAUCAAGCUAAAAAAUAAAACUAAAAUUCAGGAAUUUGAAAAAACAAGUUAAAACAUUAUACAAUUUCAAGCUAAAACAAUGCAAAAAGAAAAAUGAAAAUUUACGCAUGAACCUCUUUUGAUAUUUACGAAAAUUUGAAGAUUAUAGUUUAGCGAUAGAAUAAUGCUCCCUCCGACGAAGUGUUAAAAAUUAUGUCUUUUAUUUAGUCAGUGGAGAAAGUGGCCCAUAAAUUAAGAAAAAAAAAAUUAAUUAAAUUAGUGAAUGAAGAAUGAGACUCAUAUAUUAGCAGGGGUGAGCAUUCGGUUAUUCGGUCACCGAACCGAACCGAAUAACAAAAACCAGAUUAAAACCGAAUUAUAUAAUUAAUAUCCAAAUCCGAACCGAACAUGCUUAAAACCGAACAAAACCGAACCGAAAUAUUUCGGUUCGGUUUCGGUUAAAACCAAAUAACCGAAAUAAAUACACAAUAUAUUUUUUAAAGUUUAAAUAACUAAAUAACAUUCAAUGUACAUGUUUCCAAAUCCGUAAAAAAUAAUAAUCCAAAAUUUCAAAAUAUCUUUACCAAAGAUUAAGAGUAUAAAUUAAGAGUAAUUAUUGACUAUUUUAUAGAAUAGCACUAAUAAUAAUUAUUUUAAUUUUUAAAGAAUAUAUAUAUAUAUAUUAUUAAAUUAUUAAAUUAAUUAUUUCGGUUCGGUUUUCGGUUAACCAAAUAUUUUUUCUUAAAAACCAUAACCGAACCGAAAAACCGAAAGUUUCAAAAUUCAAAACCAAAACCGAACCGAAAACCAAAUUAACCGAACCGAAUUAGUAUUUCGGUUAGGUUCGGUUCGGAUUUUCGGAUUUAACUGGAUUUUGCUCACUCCUAUAUAUUAGUGAGUGGAGAGAAUGAUCCACAAAUUUUUGUGGAUGGACUAAAGUGACAAAUUAGGACAGUAUUUCGUGAACGGGGAGUAAUAAAUAGAAAGUUUAUUAUACAAAAAUUAAAAUUAAUGCGUAAUUAAUAAAUUGAUUAAAAAUUUAUAUAUUUUCAUGCCAAUAAUUUCUUUAAGGGUGUGUAACUUUGCAUUAUUAAUUAAAUACAUAAUUGAGUAUUUUUAUUAUGAAGAAUAUAAUUUUUUUAAUCUCACAUUUUCAAUGAAAUAAAUAAAGUAAAAUUAGUUUAAAUGAUUGAAAUAAUUAAAUACCUUAAAAUAUCUGAAGGUUUUUAUCCAUCUAAAUAAAUAAAUAAAUAAUUAGUGUUACUAAUUGAGGUUAUGGCCAAAAAAUAACAUGAAUUUAUAUUUUUAUUGCAUUUUUCACGUGAGUUUGACUUUCGGCGAAAUUAGAGGGCUUAGUUGGCAGUCAAAAGUUCAACCUAUGUUGGUCUAAUUUCUAAUAGUGAGGAGUAUUUAGAAGCUCGAAUGUCUUAGAAUGUAAAAAAUAAUAUAUUUAACUCAAUUUCGAAUGUCAAUUAACUUCUAAUUUCGUUGAAAGUCAAAUUUAGAUAAAAAUUACAACAAAAAUAUAAAUUCAUGUUUUUAUUGGUUUAAUUAAAAAUUUAUGUCACAAUUACAAAUUUUUCAAAAUUUGUAGUUUNUUUUUUUUGCCAUAAUAUUCCCUUAUUAAUUUUAUCUAUGAAAAUUCAUAAUUUAACUAAACAUUUACAUUUUCAUCCAAUGAAUAUAGUGAAACUCAAACUUAGAUUAACGUAGAAUGCUAAUAAUGAGAUUAUCAGUAAAAAAAUAUUAGGACUGCAACUGAGAGUUGAUAAUUCCUUUUGUCAGUUUAGGAAAGCAAAACGCAAGUACAGUUUGAAAACUGAUAAAGAUUGGAAACCGUCGGAUCUCGAUCCAAGGGCUGCCUUGAUACUGCUGCCUCUUCUUUUCCUAAAUUGAGUUGAUGUUGAUUUUAUAUAGCUAUUGUUUCUAUUGAGAGAGAACAUUUUCUACAAUGAAGAUUAUUAAGAUUUAAGAGUGAUUUGUGAAAUCAUAUGAAGAUCUUGCAAUACUUUCAGUUUGUUUUCUCAAACAUAAACGAUUAGUUCGUCAAGUAUCUAUUCAUAGAUUAUUUGUAAUGCAUUAAACAUUUAUUGUAUGAAAAUAUUAGUACUAAGUUCUUCUUAUUAUGGUUGAACCAAUAACAAAAAACAAUUACUAUUAUUAUUAUAUAUUGCAUUAAAAGAAAUAAAAAAUAACGGCGGGCUACCGCCUCCGAACUCCGUACAAAUUUAGCCCUUAACAAGAAUUCCUGAAUUUUCCCCGCUCCUAAAUAAUUAGGUUAUACUCGAAAAAUAUCUUGAUUUUUUAAGAGAAAGUGAGAGUAUGUAAACAAUCUUUUGAAGCUCCAUUCCUCAUCGAAUGAGAAUUUUAAUUUAUAAAUAAGUCCAAUAAAGUCUUUUACUCCCUUCGUCCCACUCCAAUAGGCUCAUUUUUCUUUUUGGGAUGUCCCAUUCCAAUAGACUCAUUUUUCUUUUUUGGUAAAAAAAAUUGUACUUAAUUGGUGUGAGCCACACCACUUUACUACUACUUUCCUACUAAAAAGUAAUUUUUCUUAAUCUUCGUAUCCAAAAUAAGUGAGCCUAUUGAAAUGAGAUGAAUGGAGUAACAAGUUGUUUAACGACUUUUAAAAAGUUAUACAUAUAAACACCGACUAAUUAAUACUAGAGAUGAUAGUGUGGCGUUAUGUCGCUACAAAUAUAGAGGAUAAAUGUUGUAUAAUAGAGUCAAUUAACGGAUUGAAUAUUUAGGGCACAUUUGGUGGGCGUUAUAUCUAGGGGUGGUAAAACGGUUCCGGUUAAUCGAUUUUAAUCGUAAUCGAACCGAAAAAAUUGAUUUUCGGUUAACCGAAAUUAAUAUUUAUUCAUUUUUCAAACAAUACAAUUAUAGAUUAUAUGAGCAAAUUAACAAGAAAUAACACGAAAUCUGUAAAAUUUAGCAAAGUCCUUGUUACGAAAUGAACGAAUUAGUUCAAUGACACAGGUGAAUCCUCCUUCGAUCGGAGAAUAUUUUCUAAAUAUUUUCUCUAUGCUUUUUGUACCCUUCUAUUACAAAUGGUACAGAUUCGAGAAAACGAAGGCAUCACUUGGCGGCGGGUCGUCUGACACCAAGACCAUGUUUAUCGGUAUUGCUCUACCCAACUUGGUCCACUGCCACAUAGAUAAAUGAAAUUAAAGAAAAAAAACAAUUCAAGUGGUUGGAUUAAGAGAGUUCGACCAGCUCAAAAAUGAGACCACCAUUGGUCUCUCUCCCCUAUAAAUAGAUCAAUAGCAAUGAGACACUUGUCCAUAUUUUAUUUGUUUUGAAGAUUUUAUUUGGAUAAUACUUAAAAUUAUUACUCCCUUCGUCCUGGGAAUCUUGAGGCAAUUCUUUUCAGCCCGAGAAUUAAGAAAAUAGUAUUUAGUGUGUUAAGUGUGGUAGGUAAAAAAGUGAAAAUGUGAAUAAAGGGAAUUUUUUUUUGCCAUAUAAGGAAAUGACUCAAGAUUCGUGGGACGAUCGAAAAAAGAAAGCGACUCAAGAUUCGUGGGACGGAGGGAGUAUAUCUUUUAUAUAAAGUAUUUUUUUAAUUCUUUAUAAAUAGAGAUCACUUUUGCUAUAUUUCAACACCUUCAAACUCUUUCAUUUUCUCCCUCUACAUAGAACAUCUAGUAUUUUCCCCACUUUUGUAAUUUAUAUUUUUAGUUUGUCGUAAUUUAUAUUUUUAUUAGUUUAUUAUUUUUUCCAUUUUUUUUGCAAUAUUUUAAUUUCUUUUAAUAUUACAAACGUCUUCAUACGACAGAUCUUAAAACGAAUGAUACGAAUUCGUACCAUUUCACUAAUUAUAUUUUUAUAAAACUCGAUAUGAUAAACUUUAAACUCAAGGAUCCAAUAUAUCAAAAUAUAAAUGGAAAAAUUAUAUUUUGGUUGAUGACAUUUAAAUAAGGGUUAAUUGGUUAUAAAUAAUUUGAACUUCAAUAAAAUUUAAAUUUUACAUACAAAUUUUAAAUUUUAGCAUGAUAAUUACUGAAUUAUUAAUUUAAAUUAAUUUUGCUUACCAACUUUAGACUUUGGAUUUCGGCUAUAUAUCAAUUAGGACUUCAACCAAAUUUAUUAUUGAAAUGACUAAAGGAUAUUAUCUUGCCAACCAAUUACUACGCGAAAACGAUGAUGUUGAUACUAGUAUUAAUUUUACUAACGCUAACUUUGACCAAAAUUCUGAUUAAUAAUAAAUUCAAAUUAAAUCAAUAUAUUUCAAUUAUUAACAUACCAAACACUAAAAUUUGUAGGAGUACAUAAAACUAAAAAUUGAUAAAAGUUUGAUAACUUUAUAGGCCCACUAAAUACACAACUGUGCAUGGGCAUGCACGACGAAGUCCAUAAUGGACGUCAUCUCACGUUUGCGUCACUGCACAAACUCCCUAACCAUUAAUUAGGUACCCUAAUCCCUACACCCAACGACCCUAAUUCUCUUUUUUACUAUAUCAAAACAUCUAUGAUGCCGCAUUAACCCACAAACUAGUAUAAUAAGAAAAUUUUUAAUUUAUUUACUUUUUUUUCUUUUAAUAAAAAUGAAAUUUAAUUAUUUUAUUAUAUUUUCUAUAUUUUUUUUAUUUUUUAUUUUUAAUAAAAAUAAAAAAGUUACAAAAAAUAACUACAAUGUAGAUAAUAUGAUAAAAUAACUAAAUCUUAUUUAUAUUUUAAAAAAUAAAUUAAAUAAAUUUAAUUAUUUUCUAUUUAGGUAAAUUGUGGGUGACCACAAUGUGGCUAUUUAGCAUUACGUACUCUUUUUAUAUUUUUAGCAAUUUUAGCAAUGUCCUUUUUGUAUAAUCACAGUAAUUUAGAUUAUUCCAAACUAUGGAGCAUAGUGUCUUUAUUUAUUUAUUUAUUUAUUUAUUUAUUUUUUUGAGGCGGAGCAUAGGUUGUUCAUCACAAAUACUUUAGAGUGUAAAAUACAUUGUGAAAUAUAAAUGAGACGAAUUUUUAAAUUAUUGCCACACUAAUAGCUCUCCCUUGCUUCAUCUCUACAUGUCAGCAUCGGCUUUUCAAAAGUAUAAGUACAUGUUCUAUCUAUUUUGUCACAUUUAAUUAAUUUUUUGUUCCAAACAUACACUUUCCCCCCCAAAAAAAUAUACCUUUCGUUGAGACACGAUCUUCACACUUUUGGUUUUGGAAUAAAAUUACUUUCAAAUACACUAUAAUCAAGGUUAUACUCCAAAUUAUAAAACCUUUUACUAUAUUGAUUUCGAUUAGCUAUUCUAACUUAUAUAUAGACUAAAACUCUUACAUUCUAGCCAAAAGUUUUGUUGUUUUCCUUACAAAAAUAUAAAGAAGUACGUACAUGAUUCACAUUCACACGAUUCAUACAGACCAUUCAUGUGAUUGAUUAUUGACUGCUUAAAGAUAGAAAGUAGGGUCCAUUUGGAAGGGAAUAUAAGCAUAGGGGUCUCGAAUGAAUUUUUGUAUGAGGACUAGAAAUAGGAAUUUUCCUAUUUAUCAAACGUUUGACCCCAUUUUCUUUUUCCUCUUUCUUUUUGCAUCGUUGCUUUUAUUAAUUUAUGCCAAAAUAUGGCGUGGUAUAUAGAUAUUAUUAUGCGCUAAAUCCAACUUCGUACGCGUCUAUUCAGUGUAUGUGUUGAGACGGACACUAGAAUCUAUAUAAUACUCCUUAGAAAAAACAUCUUGUGCGUCUUUAGCCCUAUUUAAAUAUGUAUUCUUUUGCAGUAGCAUUGUUAAAAUCUAUUCCAUCGUUGGAGAUAAAAUCUCACAAAUAUUCUUUAAGUCAAGUCUACCGAAUGAGUAUGAUCGGCAUCUUGUGUGGUUUGCAACUAUCACGCAAUUUAGAUCUGAACAAUUAUACAUAUAGAGAUAUAUUCCGUUAAAAAUGUUAAAUGCGCUGAAAAUUGAAAAUACACACAUAAAUAAUUCAAUAAUUUUUACAAAUAAAUUAAUAUGUAAUGCAUGAAUAGGCAUUUUCAUAUAGGUUCAAAUCUUGGAUGGAGCAAAAUUUUCACCAUAUUAACUGUAUAUGACUAUUCGUGAGUUAUAUUGAUUUAUUUAUUAUUAUCAUUUCUCACGAAAAAUAUAAACCUCACUAGAACCAUACCCUAAGGGUGUGUUUUCUUUGAGGUAUAAGGGAGGGAUAAGCUACAUUUAUCACCUUAUACUUUAUUUGCUUUGAUGUAAAAAAAAAAUUCGAGCAGGUUGUAUAAUUUUUCGGGCAAUCCCUUAUCCAUUGGGAAAUGGAUAAUUUUAUACCUAAGAGAUAUGGUGGUAAAAUUUUAUACCACCUUAUAAGGAGUGAAUAAAUAUAUUAUCAUUCAAAGCAAAUAAGAUAUAACAAAUAUGAUCCCCACUUUAAGUGAUAAACUUAUACCUCAUUAUAUUAUCCUUCCAUUUAGAGGGAUAACAACCAAAUUAAUACACCCUAUAUAGAUAAUUUUAUUUAAUGAUCAAUAACUCUAGUACUACAAAUAGUAAGGCGCGUUAUCUUUGAUUGUAAAUUUAUCAUAAAAAAUGUGAAAUAAAAGGUGGAAAAAGAUUUUCACAAUUAAAAUAUUAUCAUAGCACUAACUCAUUAUAAUAUGAGGAAAUGAUUAAAAUAACCAUUUUAUUGAAAAAAAAUCAAUGAUAACCAUAAAAUAAAAAUAUAUUGAUUAUAAAUAUUUUUAUAAAAAUAUCCUUGUAUUUUAAAAUUUAUCAAUAACUUAAAAUAAAAAACUUGAAAUUCAUUUAUAAAAUUUAAAAUUUGAAAACACAAAGGAAAGAAAAAAAAAAAAAAAAUCAAAACUCCAGUCCAAUCCCCAUUAUCUCCAUUUUCUACUUAUACGAGCUCGCCGCAGCCAGCACGCACCUACAUCACCGUCGCUUGCACCAAUUAACAGCCUUUUGUUAUCAAUUUUCAAAAUAAAAGUCAAAACAAAAUCACGACGAAAUAAUCGAAAGGGAUUGGAUUGCAGUUACAAAAAAGAAGGAAAAUGGGGCGUGGUUACAUAUGCAGCGGUGAUGGAAUAAGGAAAUGACGAACCAAAGAUAAUUGCAGAGAAGAAUAAAAUGAAGGAAUCAUAUUUUGAGGUAUGAUUUACGUGCUCGUGAUCUAUUUCGAAUAUCAAACAAAUACAUACAAAAAUCAACGUGUCUAUUACAGGAGAACGAAUCUUACUUGCAAAUCCGGCGAUGAGCGACUCCAGAGCGAAUCUUCCGACUUGUUUCCCACGGCAAGACUUGACGUUGGAUGACAACGAGCUUCAAGUCAUCUCCUUUCCGUAGGCGCCGAUCUUCUCUCUCACUUUCUGUUCUCACAUAAUUCUCUCUUUUAUGGUUUCACAUAAAUGCACAAGUAAUUAAAUUUUGAGCUAUCUUAUUAUUUAUACUAGGUAUUAAUCAUAUUUAAAUAAUAAGCCCAUAAACUUAAUUAAACUAACCAAAGCCCAAAGGCUUAUAGAGAGUGAGAGGGGCGGAUGUCCAACUAAGAAGUGAAGCCUUUAUUGGGCCAGACGUGGAUCUACUAGCUCGAAUAAAGUUUGGCCUCCCAGUGCUCGAUUUUCUUAUUCAGCCCAGAAUAAAAUCGAGACACAAGUAUUAAUUUAUUCCACUAGAAAAUUAAUACUAAAUUACCUCUUUAUUCUUUAGGUGAGUUAGAGCUAGUAUUAGACUUAAUUAAUCUCCAUAUUUAAGAUAUCUCCACUCGAAUAAAGUUUGGCCUCCCAGUGCUCGAUUUUCUUAUUCAGCCCAGAAUAAAAUCGAGACACAAGUAUUAAUUUAUUCCACUAGAAAAUUAAUACUAAAUUACCUCUUUAUUCUUUAGGUGAGUCGGGGCUAGUAUUAGACUUAAUUAAUCCUCGUGUUUAAGAUAUCCAAUAUCCAUUAAUUAAUUAAUUCCUUUGACGACCAAUUAAUUAAUUAAUUAUUCGUUUAAUUAUAAACAACAUCUCGAGUGCUACCACUUAAACUUAUUAUCGUAUCGGAACUAAUUCCACCUGCAGGGUUUAAUACGAUAAACUUUAAGUUCCUCGAGAGGAUAUUAUCAUCCUGUUAUUAGCAGGACACGGAUCCUUAUUGCAAUAUAAUCGCAUGUCAAAUAAUAAUUGCUAUCACCCAAGUAUUAAGUAUAUUGAGCUUCAAGAGAACUCUCACCCAUGAUAAAUCAAAGCAAUAGUCAAUCUAUUAUUCACACCGAUUAAUCCAAUUAAGGUUAAGACUAUUUAAGUCGCCGAGAUCUUGAUUCUUAAUUAGUCAGAAUAUAGGAAUUCAUCUCACUGUGAUCCUGUUCAAUACACGAAGGUACUAGCAUAAAUAAAUAGUCAAGACAAACUAUUUAUCAUUUAUGCUACAAUCAAAACCAACAACUCGUCCAUAAUUGCCUCGAUUGUGAACUCAAUUUAUAUUUCAACAUUUUUCAAUUAUAUGAUCUUCUGUGAUCUACAACACACCAUAUAAUCUAUGUAUGAGAUAAAUUAGACUAUAAUAAGAUUAUGCAAUAACAAUAUUUCAGAUAGAAGAAUCACAGUGAAUUAAGGAAUCAAUAUAUACAAGCAUAAAGUCUUGCUUUCAGUAUACAACCUUUCAGAAAAAUCACGGGGCAGGGGCGGAAAAGAAGCGUCGACGGCCGCGGCCUAAGUAGUUGGUGAGAAUAGGGGGAGGGGAGAAGUGUCCACAGUCUUGGUAACUGCUUCCUUGGCGAGAAUAAUAGAUGGGGAGGGGCAAGAGGCGAGGGGGAGAUGGGCAAACCUGAGGUAUGGGUUAAAUUCUAAUUUUUCUUUUCAUUUUAUAUAUUUUUAUUAUAAUUUUAUUAAAAGUAAAAUAGUUUAUUUACAUAAAAAAUGGUUUGAAUUAAUAUUAUAUUUUUAUUUCUAUGGUUGUUAUUAACUUUUUCUUAAAUAAAAUAAUUAUUUACGAGUAUUAACACUUGUGUGCGUGUGUUAGUCUAGAGGUAAGUUGUUAAUGUUCAUGCUUUGAGAUUUUGAGUUCGAGCUCAUUAUGGUGUGAUUUUUUAAUUUUUUUAUUUAUUUGUAUAAUUUAUCAAAAAGAAAAAUUAAUGGAAAGACUAAACUUAUGUGAAAUUCCCAUCUUUACCUUAUACGGUUACCAAAUGGGCCAAAAAUUUACUAUAUUCUUACUCUAAAUUUCGAUUUUAAAAGCCCAAAUUAUUAACUACAGAAAAGCCCAUUUUCUGGGGCACACACACAUGGUGAUGGUACAAUCAGCUAAGUAGGCCGAAUUUUUUUAUUCUUAUUCUAAAAUUUUGAUCUAAAACGCCAACUAUUUACUAGACAAAAACCCAUUUUGUUUGGGCCUAUACAGACAUCGUACAAUCAAUUCUAAAUUUUCUUGGACGGACUGCUAAAUCCUAAUUUAGAGGCAUAAGUGAUUUUCUAAACAAAAAAUUGUAUUUAUAUUUUGUUACAUUGAGUUCAUGAAUAUUUAUUUAUUUGCACAAUACGACCCCCUCAAAGUUUAUAUAUUGGUGAAUUUUGUGGCAACUUUUUAGCUUAAAUCAUUCCGUUUGAAAAAAAUAGUUAUUUUAUUUUUAUUAUUUUGAAACAUCUAUAAAAAUUAGUAUGCUUUUUAUUUACGAACAUACUUUAUUAUAUGUGAAUCUUUUUUGCCACUUAUACUAUAAUUAAUUAUUAUUAUUAACGUACAAAAAAUAAUGUGAACUUUUUCCGCUAUUUAUAAUAUUUUAUAAUAUAAUUAAUAAUUAAUUAUUAUUAUUAAUCUAUAAAAAAUAAUGUAUACUUAUUAAGCGAAGAAAUAACAAAAUGGCGGCAUAUUUUGCAUACAAAUGCAAGAAAAUCUAAAUCGCAAUUGUAUUGAGCAGUCUUGGAGCAAACCCAGACUAAAACCCCUUCGCCAUCAAACCUAGCACCGCCGUGACCCCGCCCCUCAGCACACAUACCUCCGCCGCCGAGCAGCAACCGUUCAUAGCAAUACCUUCCAUCCACGCAACAGGUACUCCUCUGCUACUGUACAUUCUCACCUCCAAAACACCAUAGCAGGCACUUCGCCUCUGUCCCAAUUUAGGGUUAGUGAUACACUAAUUGCAGGCGUUAUUGUUAGAGAUAUCGUGGAAAUAAUUAUGUAAUGCUACAGAGUCCGGCGCAGUCUUGAUGGUAUUUCGUGUGAGAUAGCCUAGGUUUCUAAAUUCUACAGAGAUAGCUUUUAUUGGUGGUUGAGUUGUUCAUUUCCUGCUUGCAUAUGAAAAAUAGUUAUGAAUUGCUUUCCAAUUUCAUCCUACUGAGCUGCAAGCUUGCUACAAUUGGCUAAUAAUUAGGAUUACAUUUUGCAGGCUUAUAAGCUAUGGAUGAUAAUCUUUACGAUGAGUUUGGAAACUAUAUUGGACCUGAAAUCGAUUCCGAUCGGGAGAGUGAUAGGGAGGAGGAAGAGGAGGAACUGCCUGACCGGACCGAGGAUGAGGAGCCUAUGUCUGAUGAUGAACGUGGCCCUGGAAAACCAAAUGGGUGGCUAACAACCACUGAGGAUGUUGAUAUGGAUGGCCAAAUUGUCCUAGCCGAGGACAAAAAAUACUACCCAACUGCUGAGGAGGUCUAUGGCGAAGAAGUUGAAACUUUAGUUAUGGAUGAAGAUGAGCAGCCACUUGAACAGCCUAUUAUUAAGCCUGUGAAAAAUCUGAAGUUUGAGUUGGGGGUUAAGGAUUCAUCUACCUAUGUAUCAACGCAGUUCCUUUUGGGUCUCAUGUCAAACCCUAUGCUGGUGAGGAAUGUUGCUUUAGUCGGCCACCUGCACUGUGGGAAGACAACUUUCGUGGACAUGUUGGUCGAGCAGACACAUCACAUAUCAACCUUUGAUCAGAACAGCGAGAAACAUAUGAGGUAUACUGAUACGAGGAUAGACGAGCAAGAGAGGAGGAUAUCCAUCAAGGCAAUGCCUAUGUCACUUGUUCUAGAGGAUAGCAAUUCGAAAUCAUAUCUUUGCAAUGUUAUGGAUACGCCCGGUCAUGUUAACUUUUCUGAUGAGAUGACAGCUGCUCUGAGGCUUGCUGAUGGUGCAGUGUUAAUUGUUGAUGCUGGAGAAGGAGUUCUGGUAAGUUUAUCUUAUUUAUUGUAGGUGUGUGUGUGUGUGUGUUGUGUGUUUUCUCUCUCUCUCUUUCACUUUGGAAUUCCACCUCUAUCUAUGUGUAUUUAGUUUCCCCUUUGUUAACAGGUAAACACAGAAAGGGCAAUUCGCCAUGCAAUCCAGGACCGCAUUCCCAUUGUAGUUGUGAUAAACAAGGUGAUAUCUCAAACCCAGUGGUGUUUUGUAAAACUUGGUACUACUGCUUAUUCUUUCAUUGAAUGCUGUCUGGGAGGUUCUUCCUUUGAUAUGUCUGACUUAUAUAUAAUAUCAGGUUGACAGAUUAAUAACUGAGCUCAAGUUGCCUCCAAAGGAUGCCUACCACAAACUAAGGCACACAAUUGAAGUCAUCAACAACCACAUAACAGCUGCAUCUUCAACUGCUGGAAACGUUCAAGUCAUUGAUCCUGCCCUUGGAAAUGUUUGUUUUGCAAGUGCCAGUGCAGGAUGGUCAUUUACUUUGCAAUCAUUUGCUAAGCUAUACGUUAAACUCCAUGGUGUUCCAUUUGAUGCUAAUAAAUUUGCCUCUCGCCUUUGGGGUGAUUAUUACUACGAUCCUGAUACCAGAAGUUUCAAGAAGAAACAGCCUGCAAGUGGAGCAGAACGGUCCUUUGUUCAGUUUGUGCUUGAACCUCUGUAUAAAUUAUAUAGUCAAGUGAUUGGAGAACAUAAAAAGAGUGUAGAGGCUACACUUUCUGAACUAGGUGUGACUUUGAGUAAUGCAGCUUAUCGAUUGAAUGUUAGGCCUCUGUUAAGAUUGGCAUGUAGCUCUGUUUUUGGUAGUGCCACAGGAUUUACAGACAUGUUGGUUCAACACAUCCCAUCUGCUAAAGAUGCUGCACCUCGGAAGGUUGAGCACAUCUAUACUGGUCCUAAGGACUCUCCAAUUUACGAGGCCAUGGAGAACUGUGAUGCAUCAGGUCCUCUAAUGGUUAAUGUAACAAAACUGUAUCCUAAAUCAGAUUGCAGCGUCUUUGAUGCCUUUGGUAGGGUCUACAGUGGGGAAAUUAUAGCUGGCCAGACAGUACGUGUAUUGGGAGAAGGGUAUUCUCCCGAUGAUGAGGAAGACAUGACAGUGAAAGAAGUGACCAAAUUAUGGGUCUACCAAGCUCGUUAUAGGAUUCCCAUUAGCAAAGCCCCUCCUGGUUCUUGGGUUCUAAUUGAAGGUGUAGAUGCUUCCAUUAUGAAGACUGCCACGCUUUGCAACUUGGAAUAUAAUGAAGAUGUGUAUAUAUUUAGGCCCCUCCAGUUCAACACUCUUCCUGUGGUGAAAACUGCUACAGAGCCAUUGAAUCCCAGUGAGUUGCCAAAAAUGGUGGAGGGUCUUAGGAAGAUCAGCAAAAGCUACCCAUUAGCUAUCACAAAGGUUGAAGAAUCUGGGGAGCAUACAAUUUUGGGCACUGGGGAAUUGUACUUGGAUUCCAUAAUGAAGGACCUCAGGGAGCUUUAUUCAGAAGUGGAAGUAAAGGUUUGUAUCUCUUCCAUUGUUCUGCUUUUGCAGUCAUGAUACUGUUUGAGAUUUUUAAGCUUCUUAACGGUGUUUGCUUUUGUGCCUUUCUUUCCCCCAUGAUGUCGAAAAGGUGGCAGAUCCUGUCGUCUCAUUCUGUGAAACAGUUGUGGAGUCCUCUUCAAUGAAGUGCUUGCUGAAACUCCAAACAAGAAAAAUAAAAUUACAAUGGUAAGCAGCUACUUUAACAUAGAAAAUCAGUAUCUAGAAGUUUUACUUGGUUUUCAUUAUCUGAAUUUCUAGAUUGCGGAGCCACUGGAGAGAGGACUUGCUGAGGACAUUGAAAAUGGUAUUGUAAGCAUUGACUGGCCAAGGAAGAAGCUUGGCGACUUCUUCCAGACCAAGUAUGACUGGGAUUUACUUGCUGCGCGGUCUAUUUGGGCUUUUGGUCCUGAGAAGCAGGUAAGUAGGACAUGUCCGUUAGAUGUUUUCUGCUUCUAAUAGCACCAUUUAUGACUUCACUUUUCAUGUUCUUUUAAUUCCUUGAUCAAGCUGUUUCUCUUGAAAGUUUUGUUCUUAUUUGAAAUCAUAACAUAUAUUUACUUUAACAGGGGCCUAAUAUUUUGUUGGAUGAUACACUGUCUAGUGAAGUUGACAAGAGUUUGCUCAAUGCAGUUAAAGAUUCUAUUGUGCAAGGGUAAGAUUUUCCGAGUCCUGCUUUUCUUUUGUAAUUUGUCUGCUUUCUUGUUGCACUAAUGUACGUUGGACAGGUUUCAGUGGGGAGCUCGAGAAGGCCCUCUAUGCGACGAGCCAAUCAGAAAUGUUAAAUUUAAAAUUGUGGAUGCCAAAAUUGCUCCUGAGCCAUUGAACCGUCAAUCUGGCCAGAUCAUUCCAACUGCCCGACGUGUGGCUUAUUCAGCUUUCCUUAUGGCUACGCCUAGGCUCAUGGAACCAGUGUAUUAUGUGGAGGUAAUAUUUUUCUCAUAUCUUUUGUUGUGUUACAGAAAGAAACCUAAGUUAUACCCAGAUUACAUUGUUUGGUUGGUUAUGUAUGAUAUGCCAAUCUCUCAGGUGUAGAGCAAAUAAGUGCUUUACACCCACCGACACACACAUAUAAGAAGAAAUAUGUAUGCUAAGUGCUUGGUUUUAUGGAUGGUCAAUGGUAGCAAAAACCUGCUUCCAGACAACUAGUGUCUUGCCUGUUGCAACUUAUUUUCUAAUACAGAAACCUAAUGGGUAUUGUAUUGUUAUCAGAUACAAACUCCAAUAGAUUGUGUUUCUGCAAUAUACGCGGUUUUAUCACGUAGGCGUGGUCAUGUCACUGCUGACGUUCCACAACCAGGGACCCCAGCCUAUAUUGUUAAGGUUUGAGGCCUCUUAUUUCCACUAAUCAUGUGUCUUAGUGGUAGUCAUAUUUCUUGUUAACAUUAAUUCCAUUAUUAAAAUUUGUAGGCAUUUUUACCGGUGAUAGAGUCGUUUGGUUUUGAGACGGACUUGAGGUAUCAUACUCAAGGGCAGGCAUUCUGCUUAUCAGCAUUUGAUCACUGGUCUAUUGUCCCUGGAGAUCCUCUGGAUAAAAGUAUAGUUCUACGUCCGUUGGAGCCAGCCCCAAUCCAACAUUUGGCUCGUGAAUUUAUGGUGAAGACGAGGCGCCGCAAGGUUCAGUAUUCUCCACCCAUUUUCCCCUUAAUUUCGGUUGGAGAUGCAUCUUCUUUGUGCUUGAUCGCAUUUGAAUGUGUGGAAAAAACAACCACCAGAUAUGUAUUUAACUUGCACAUUCGUAUUGGUUUUCUCAGGGAAUGUCGGAAGAUGUUAGCAUUAACAAAUUCUUUGAUGAGGCUAUGGUUGUUGAACUUGCUCAGCAGGCUGCCGAUCUUCAUCAACAAAUGAUCUGAACAUGCAAAUUGUCGAUUGGCCUUCUUUUUGUAUGACGUGUCAUGACGAGUAUUCGGUUUCACUCGAGACAUUUUAUUUUUACUUUGACGGUUUUGUAGAUGCUACAUUUGGUUAAAUUCGUAUAUUUCUGUUGUAAUUUUACGAGCUGUUGAAGAUUUGAUUCGGAGACAUUUCAUGAAUUCAUUAUUCAUGUGUGCUUGGUUAAGCAAACAUCAUCUAAUAUUAAAGAGUAGGGUUAAUAGCCUAUAAAUUAUUGAACAUUUAUCAAAUUCCAGCGUUGUAUCAUAUAUGUAAACUUUAAAAUUCAGUGUGGUAAUUGUUGAAAUAUUAAUUUAAUUUGAUUUUGUUGUUACUUAGGAUUCUUAUUAAGAUUAUAUCUGACAUGACAAAUCGAAUAGUUAAUGUUUUUUGUAAAAUUAGUAGCAUCUAUUUUGUAGUUAUAAUUAAAUUUAAGGUUUAUUUUUAAAAUUAUUGAAUUUUUUUUAUUUCCUUUAUAUUUAUCUUCUUAUUUUUCAUAAAAAAAUAUGAAAUUCAAUUAAUUAUAAAAUAUUUAAUAUGUAUAUCAAUUAAAGAUCACGAUAAGAGCUUUAAUUUGAUAUAUUUUAUAUAAAUAUUUGAUUUAAAAUAUAAAAGUUAUAUUUAUUUAAAGAUUAAAAUUUAAAAAAGAUCUCUCCUCUCAUUUUUUUAAAUAAAUUCAAUUUUCAAUCAAUUUUUUUUUUUUUGCAUUUUCAUAAUAUCAAUUUUUAUUACUGUUAAUUUUAAAUUUUUUUAAUGUUAAACUUAAAUAUAUUCAAUUGAAAUCAUUAUUUUUAUUAUAUUUAUAAAUAUAAUAAUUAAAUUGAUAUCAAUUUUAUAUAAAUAUAAAAAUAUUUUGCAUGUAUUGCAGCGAGAUACAGUUCAAUGAAACGAUCAAUAACUUCUAGGCAAUUAAUUGCAAUUGCUCCCCGACUUAAUGAGUUUAAAAAGUCUAAACCUCAAGGGUUUUGACUUUUGCAGUCACUUUUGAAGCUUUUGACUUUGACCUCAAUUAAUACUUAAUACUAAAUGUGAAUUGUCCAAUAGAAAUCAGUCCACAACCAAAUUUGGGUCGAUUCACUUAACUCGAUUGAUUAGUUCAACACUUGACGUCUACAACUACAACUACAAGAUUUGAUCAGUUCUGUUCUUGGAGAUUCUUUUGACGGUUCUAGAUUUUCAACUGAAGAUGAAAUACGGAAAAUUAGUAAUAAUAUUGCGAGCUUAGAAUAAAUUUGGAUUAAUUAGGUUAAUGGUUCUCUAAAAGAGCAUUCCAUAACGCAAUUAAUGAAAAUAUCUAGAUCCAUUAAUUUUAUAGUGGAUGCGCGCACGGCUUCUUGUGUAGCUGGAAACUACCUAAACUUUAUAAUUCCGCACAUUAUUAGAGCCCCAGCUGUAUAUGGUGUGCAUAUGUAUAUCACCAAUUCAUCAUGUCGACCAUUAUUAAAAUAGCUCAUCGAUUCGAUUCUUAUUUGUUUUAGUAUAAAAUAACAAAAAAUUAGAAUUUGAAUUCAAGCCAACUAGGAUAGAACAAGUUCCAAAUUGCUCAAUUUUCGGUACUGUCAAUGGUGUUAUCCAUUUUAUCUUUACAAGGGUUUCUCUCCUAUUAAUUACUAGUACAAUGUAACAAAAUGAAAUGCAAAAAAAAAAAAAAAAAACUCAGCUACACCUUAUAAGUAAUAAUCAUCAGAACCGAUCACCUACUCACCGUGGGCAAACAUAACGUGUUCACCACUGAUGUGGCAAUAUUAAUUAAAAAGGAGAAUUAAUAAAUCUUACUCUAAUUAAAAUUAUGGGACAUUAAAUUGUGGUACAAAAAAUCUUAUAUAAAAUUCGGGAUUAUCAAAAUUAUGUUGAAAAAAUAAAAACCAUUAAUGAAUGGAAGAGCUACCUAGGAGCAAACGAGACUGAAAUCUCCGUUGGAACCCGAACCCUGUCGGACCAAACCCGAGACUCCAAAUAGAGCUUCGAAAUCUUACCGGAAAUCCAUUUCAUUUCGGGUCGCCUAUCCGGGUCAUCCUGCACGCACUGCAAGGCGACACGUGUCAGUUUCUCCGCUACUUCUACGGGAAACGAGUCCUUGAGCCUCUUAUCUAUCCACCUCCUCAACCUCCCCUCCACCGCCCCCUCGCCGCCGCCCUCCACCGCCUCCUUAGCCGUCUCGAUCACCGAAAUCAGCCGGUGACCCCCGCUGCUCUGGUCGAACACGUACUUCAGCGGCUCCUGCCCCGUCAUCAGCUCGAGAAUCACAACUCCGAAGGCGUAGACGUCGGACUUCUGCGUGGCCACCCCCGUAGCCUUAAAUUCCGGCGACAUGUAGCCCCUCACCCCCUCGAACUGCCUCUCCCCCGCGGCCGCAGCCUGCCGCCCCUCCUCCCCCGUCUCGCCGCAGAGCUCCGCGGCGCCGAAGUGGCAGAUCUUCGCGUUGAACGACGGCUCCGUCACGAUAAUGCCGCUGCUCUUGACGUGCUUGUGCACCAUAUCAACGCUCAAUCCGGCGGUGUUGUGGAUGUAAUCGAGGCCGUACGCCACGUCCGUCGCGAUCUGCAUCCGCGACGUCCACGUCGAGAGAACCGUGAAAUUGGGGUCGAUUUUGCUGCGGAGACAUAACCCUAAGUCCAAUCCCUGCACGUAUUCGUACACGAGGUAAAUGUGCUCGCCGGAAAUUGAAAUUCCGACGAGUUUAACGAUGCUGGUGAAAUGUCCUUUACUGAUCACCGACAGUUUCUGCAUGACGGCGGCGCUCGUCGUGGAUUUGCGGAGCUUCCGCUGGAAAACGACGACAUCCUUGCCGCUGAGGACGCAGCGCCACGACUGCGACGAGGAGGAGGUGGAGGAGUGCCGUUUCGCCAGGAAAUUGUUGGUGGCGGCGCGGAUUUCGGAGAAAUCAUAGACCUGAGUGCUUUCCGGCAGGUUGUCGCGGAGGCUGGAGAGAGAGGCACGGCUGGAGAGGGAUGCGGUGGCGACGGAGCUAUCGAGGAGGUAGGAGGAGGAUGAACCAGCGCCGAUACCGCCGGCGGAGGAAGACGAGGAGUAGCCGCCGCGGGGGAAUUGACUGGAGAGGUUGGUUUGCGGCGCUCUCGACGUCGUUAAAGAGGAAGAAGAGGAGGGUUUGUCCGCCUCCGAUUGGGAAACACCUCUUCUCGGCGUUUUGGAGCCUGCUUUAGGGUUUCGGGCCGGGUCUGAAGCUCUUAUCGCCAUUUUCGUUCUGCACAUAACAGAAUUCGAUCACGAAAAAUCGACGAUUUUUCGGAAAUUGAGGCAGGAAUCGAAGAUUGAUGGAGUCAUGGGACUUUUGAUUAAUUGGUAAAAAAUUCAAUCAUAACUGAUGCAAGGGAGUGAUGGUUUUCCGAAUGCUAAUACUCCAUUUCUAUUGAUGGCUUCAACGAGAUAAUAUUCGAUUUGAAGAUUUCAGUAAAAAGUUGGGUGGAUUUUGAUUCGGUGUGGAAGAAGGGGGGAAAUGGGAAUUUGCAACCUUUGGAGUAAUACUAUUUUAUUGGAAGUAAAUUGGUAUAGUAAUAAUUAAACGAAAGUUUUGAUUAUUGAGUACUAUAAUAAUAGAUUAAUAGUAAUAAUUUGAUGGGGUUUAUAGGGGCCCAUUGAUGAAGACAGGAGUUGAAGAAGACAAUAAAUUUACCCUUUGUUGGGAAGUUUGACCACCAUUCCGCCCCGGAUUUUUAUUAAGCAUCCAACUGUAAAGCUUUUGACUUGUAAAACGCUAUCCAUUUUUUCUCGUUAUGUUUGGCAAUGCUAAUACUUAUCUAACAAAUGCUAUGUAGAUACAGGAUUGAGAAGAUCAUUUUGAAGUGCUUAAAAAAUAAUAUUUGAUUGGAAGGCUUAAGAUGUGCUACAAAAGUUUUAAAUAAAACUCUGACUUCCAUAUUUGGAAAUUUAGCACAGCGCGUCAACCGCAGUCAACUAAUUUCCGCCAUAGAUCAUGUUGUUUUUAGCACUCAAAAAAAAAAAAAAAAAAAAAAAAGAAGAAGAAGAAGAACAACAACAACAACAAAACAAGAAGAAGAAGAAGAAGAAGAGAAGAAGUUACAUAUUAGUGGUAAGUAGUAACUAGUCGGUGAUAAAUUUUUCGUACACCACUAAAAGUAUUAAUUGGUUGUUUAAUACCCUCUUUGAAGUCUUUUCCAAACCUUAAUUAAUAAGUAUACAAAAUUAAACUAAUUUGACACCAAAUAGUAAGACACCGAACUUAGGUGCUUUGCCCUGAAUUCAUAUUCAACACAUAUUUUUAGAUGACCUCUGCUUCGUGUGACAAUAGCUGAAUAUACAAUAAAGUAGGUGUAACGUGAAUUUAUAUUCAACACACAUAUUUUCAAAAUUUAUUUAAAUGAAAUGUGGUCGAAACUCAAUAAGUCAAGCUCCAAUAACUCAUUCCCACAAGUCCCUUUUUCCUUUCUAGAUUAGUCCAUACACAAUCCUUAAUUAGGCAUCAUGCUACCCCUUUUUUUUGUAUAUAUUUUCAAAUAGCCUUCGCAUCUUGAAUAGUUUGCUACGUUCUUCAGUCAAAGAAAAAAAUCUUACUAUCGUAUUCGUUGUGUUCAGAAGUUGUUAACUUGUUAUAUUAUAUUCACUUUUAAGCUUCAAUUUUUAUUAAUAAAUACUAAAUAAAUUUAAUUACGUUAUAAUAAUGUUUAUUUUAAUAAUAAAUAUUAUUACAAGACAAUCUUUAAAGUUAAUAGUGAUACACAAUAAACGACAAGAUAAAAAAAUCUGAACUGUAAAAUACACAGUGCAUGAUCGUCUUAAACGCGUGAGUAAGAAAUUAGUGAUGAUGCUAAAGGGAAAAAGGGAAAUUAUAUUGUGGAAAUACUUUAAACUACACAUUUUUUUUUAAAAAUGAUAAACUAUAUGCUCCUUUUAAUUAAUUUAUUACUACACUACAUAUCAACAACAUUAAAAUAUUAUUCUUACUAUACAAAGAAUUUAAGUUAUGUCAUAAUUAAGAUUCUCAACAACCGUAGCUGUUUCCUAAAAAAAAAAAAAAAAAACCGUAACUGACACCCCACAUAAAUUUUGCCGUCCAAUAAUAACUCUCACAAUAUUACACGUAAUUUCUUAAUUGAGCGAAAAGUUUAAAUAAAGCAAACGAAAACUUAAAUAAGAGCGAGCAAAAAUUUAAAAUGGGCGAGUAGAAAGUAUAAAAUGAGAACAUAACAUAAUGUUUAAUAAUUAAAAUUAUUAUGCCAAAAAAAUUAAAUUAGAGCGAAUUUAAAUUAAUAAAAAAUACACCUUUAUAAAUUUACUUUUCAUACAAUUUGUCUCUUUACUUACUUGCAAUAGAUGUGUCGGGUUAUAAAUUUAUAUAACUCUUUGCAUAAAUAAAUUUGAGCAUAAAUAAUUACUAAUAAAAAAUAACACACAGACACACACAUAUAUGCGCUAAAAGAAAAGGGAAAUUAUAUUAUAUUCAACUCAAAAAAGAAAAAGGGAUUUUUUUUUAGCUUAGAAAAAGGGAAAUUAUAUACUGGUUAUGUGCACACUAUUAAAUUAUUAAUGUUAGUCAACGAUAUUUAUAUCCCAGUCGGAAUUCUGGAGAUUUUAAAUUAAUGAGAAUGUGUCACGGUGACCGCUGAAUAUCUUACUAUUUUUUAUUUCACGUGCUAUUUUGUUAAUAAAACAUUUAAUGCGAUAAUAACAUCAUAGUAUAGCUUUAUUUUAUCUCGUUCAAUCAAAAUUAACUUCUUUUAGGGAAGGAAUACGCACUACAAAAAAAACGGGAAAUUACCUGUCAGAAUUAUCGAUGGUGGCGUUGCCGCCGAUAAUUACCGGCGGCCCACCGACGGUGGAGAAGGCGACCCAUUUUUUUAAAAUAUCGGCGCCGCCGCCGGUAAAUCUCCGACAAAAGAUCGCCGUUCGGCAACGACUUUCAACGGCGGCGCCGUCGCCGUCUUUUGCCGUCGGUAUACGAGUCACCAACGAGCGAAAUAUCGGCGGCGUGGCGCUGCCAGUAUCGGCGUGAUUACUAAUCGGCGUGUUUUUUGUAGUGACCGAGAACUAAUUCGCUUAUUCAUCAACUACCGUCCUCUUGUAAAAUUUAACUCGAAUCUUUCCAACUUCCUAUCAUUAAUAUUUUAGCAUGUCGAGAAAUUGAACAAAAGGCCAACUAUUUAAGCAUGUCAAGAAAUUGAUCUUAUGGAAUUUGGUUAAGGGAAAAUGUGCAAAUAGACCCCUCUAGAUGUACCCAUUAUAGCGUAUACCUCCCCUUAUUUAUUGUAUGUGCAACUAAAUUCCCGAACUCUGAAAAACGGAUCAAAUAAGUCCCUCACCCUAAACAACGUCUUCUCACCGUCAGUCAUCCUUUUUUUUAAAAAAAAUUACUGUGGGGCCCACAUUAACGAAUUGCAAAACAAUUUUUCAAUAGUCAAUUGAAUAUCCAUUGAUGAAGCUCCAUCUCCGAUUUCAGCUAAUCCAUCAAUGGAGAAGCACGUUCAGAGGCUCCUCAAUUGAAUCUCCGUCGCCGCCAUAACGGCCACGCUAAUCCUCCUCCUCCUCUCCAUCCAAACGCCGCAAACCUGCUUCGACCCGAACCCGAAGCCCCACACCUGUUUCCCCAAAUCCACCUGCGACUUCCACCCCCGCGCCUACACCACCGUCGAGAAGCGCAACCGCCGCGUCUGGUCCACCAAGGCCUGGACCGUCGCCGUUGCCUCCUACGCCUCCUUCUUCGAAACCCUCCGGGCCCGAAACCACAUCGCGAACCACUCGCACGUGCUGGUCGUCUACGCCAGGCCGGGCCCUCAGGGUUUCCAGCGUCGAGUACAUGACGGGGGUGGAGGUGGUGGAGUGGCCGCCGCUGGUGAGUCGCGCGGUCCGCACAAUUUGCUGUUUUUCGAUCUAGGGUUUGGCGCGUAUCUGGAUCUGGCUCUGUUCUCGGCUAGGUACGUGGGGCAGAUUGAGCGCACGGUGAAGCGCGACGGUGUUUGCGUGGUGGCCGUGGAGGAGUGUGGGGCGGAGGAGGUGGUGCAGAUUGUGAAAUUGUUCCAGAAAUCGUUGUUGUCUUAUCUUUCACACUUGACAUAACCUAAUAAUUCUUUGAAAACAGAUGAAUCAUUCUUUGUGAAAUCAAGUUGAUUUGGCACAUUUGAAUGCUUUGUGUUGAGUGAGAUUCCAUUGGAAAAUAUGUGUUAAAUUAAUUCGAGCUUCUUUGUGUGUACAUGAUUUUGGGGAAAAUUCUGCAUAUUUGCUCAGAGGAUUUGUUAGGUUAUGUUCAUGGAUUUGAAGGAAGAUUAUUAGCUAUAGUUUAGUGAAUGCAAUUUCGUUAAUGUGGGCCCCACAGUAAAUUAAAAAAUAAAAGAAAAAGGGAUGACCGACGGUGAGAAGACGCCGUUUAGGGUGAGGGGCUUAUUUGAUCCGUUUUUCUGAAUUUGGAGGUUUAGUUGCACACACAGUGAGUAAGGGGAUGUAUAUAGGGGUGAGCAGAAACCGAACCGUUUUGGUGUGGUUCGGUCCCGAAUCUAUUGGUUCGGUUUUCAGUUCGGUUUCGAAAAUUAAAAACCGAUAAGUUUCGGUUCGGUUUCGGUUUUCAGUUUUUGGUUCGGUUUUAAACCGAACCGAACCGAUAAAUAUUACUCCCUCCGUCCCGGCUUUUUGUAUCCAAUUUUCCUUUUUAGUCCGUCCCACAUUUUAGUAUCCACUCUACUUUCUAUUUUUGGAAACCCUAUACUCUACACAACCCUAUAAAAUCUAAACCCUUUAUAUUGCACUUUAUUUACAUUUUUUGCCAUUGGCCCCACUUUAAUUUAAAUAAAUUAAGUCCAUUUUUGUGGUUUAUUAAAACCAAAUCAUUAAUUAAAUCAAAUGCCAACUACCCAAAAAUCAAUCGGUGCUCAUCUUAAUUGAAAUCAAACCAUAUUUCCUCAAACCCCAACCUUGAGCCGCCAUCUUCUUCAACCUUUUCCGUCGAAACCCUAGUCUGCCAUUGAUGCGUUGUUCUGCAAUGAACUCGCCGCCCAUGACUGAUUCAUUCGAGGCUUUCGACGGCAUCGUAGAGACGGCGACUCACAUGGAAGAAAUCUCGCCGUUGUCCUCGGGUUGGGAUUUGUUGAGCUAUGACGAAUUGGAGCCGUUGGUAUCUAAAACUCCGUCGAUCCAUGGGUUUUUUGAGCCGGUGGAGCCUGAUACGGAGGUACCUGAUACUCCGAUCUAUGGCUUGUUCGAGACGGAGGUACCUGAUACUCCAUCUAGCAAUGACUCUCCUUCGUUGUUGGGGCCUGAAAUUCCACCGAUCCAAGGCUUUUCUUCGACGGUGGUGGCUGAAACUCCCCCGAUCUAUGGCUUUUCUCAGAUGGAGGUACCUGAUACUUGGUCGGUGGGGCCUGAUACUGUGGUGCCUGAAACUCCAGAAAUGUGUGCCGUUCCCUUGGACGAACAUGGAGCUGAGGAAUUACCUUCAUGGGCGCCAGAUUGGUCUGAGGAAAGAAAGAAGAGCUAUCUAAAACGUUUAGACAGUGUACCAGCUCUACUAUCCAGGUGACUAUGUUCCUUCGCUUUGUUUAGGUCUUGAAGCCACCCCUCAAAAUUUAUUUUUGAUGUUUGGAGGUUUAAGAUCUGCAUUUUUUGGGCUUCAUGCAUUAUUUAGUGCUCUGGUUUACUUGUUUGGUGGUGUGUGAUACUGUGGUGCCUGAAACUCCAGAAAUGUUAUGCAAUGUGAAUGUGGAUUCUGGAAUUUGUUGAUUAUGUUGUGCCAUGUGUUGGUGCUCUGGUUUACUUGCCACUAUAUGUCCCUAUUUGCAGUCGAUGAUGAUAUUUUUCUGAGGUUCAAUGAGGUGAUCAUAUUCUUGAAUCUUGACUGCCUUAUUGGAAGCCACCACUAGGUAUACAUUGCACUAGUAUGGAGGUUUAAUAAAGCAGCCACUAUGUGUUAAUGAAUGCAGCCUAUGAUGAAGUUUUUACUGAGGUCUUACUUCUUUCACUAUGUGUGAGCCACCGACUAGGUAUACAUUAGCACUAGUAUGGAGGUUCAUAGUAAUAGCAGCCUAUGUAAUCUUGAUGUAAAUACAGCCUAUGAUGAAGUUUUUCUGAGGCUUACUUCUUUCACUAUGUGUGAGCCACCGCUAGGUAAUGUGUGCACUAGUAUGGAGGUUCAUUAUAUGGUGUUAGUUGGCUUGGUAUGCUUUUAUCGUGUGCCUGUGGCAGUUAGUGAUGCAUUAAUUACAAACCACAAAAUAGCUACCACCUUAUAUGUGUGGAAUCUUUACAAAAUGAUGAUUACAUGCUAAACAACAACUACAUAUAACUAGUUUGUUGCUUAUGCUGUAAAAUGUCAAAAAACUAGCCUAACAUAUCUACUAACCAAGAGCUGAGAUUAGAGGGCCAAUGUUGUAGGCUAACCCAUCAUUGUUUUCAGACAGCCUUAGGUAUUCCAAGCAUUCCUUUACAAGUCCCACAUCAACAUCAAGGGUAUUAGGAAGUGUACCACUCCUAAUUAGCCUUGCCUUGUUCAUGUGUGGAAUCUUGUAAUUAUUGCCUCCGUGUACCUUCAUGAUUUCUAUGUAGCAUCCUUGUAGUGUUAGAAACACAUUGUUCAACGUAUCUGGUGAUAGUUCUUCAUAUGAGCUUUUGACAUUCCUCACUAGGUCUUCUACUCCACUGGCAUGCUUGUCAUCUUGUAGAGACUGUAUGGCUCUAAGAAGCCUAGACAUUCACAUUUGUGUCGGGAGAGUUAGGUGGCUGACAUCUUAAUUCAUUGUAAAUCCAUCUGAAUUGGCAGCAGCUAUGAAAUCAGGAUCAUUUGUUGGUUAUAGUUGGGGUUUGGCAUUGUCUUGCUGAAUGAUGAUGUGUUUGCUUGCUCCAGGAGGCCAUUUGGACUUUAUGCUUGGUAUAAUCUGCAUGUACAAUAAAAUUAACUAAGUGAUGACAAAUUCCAAGUCUGAUAGUUAAAAUAAAACCACAAAAUCUGUUUGGAUUGAUUCAUAGUUGCAAAUAAAUGUAAAAAAUCUGACCUGAUUGAUGAUGCAUUCUUUUAUGACUGCCUUUGUGAUUGCUUGAAUUGGUUUAGUCUCGAGUGUGCCCUUUGCUCUGUUCUUUGAACUCCUUUUGGCUGGUUCCUCAAAUGUGAAUGGAAAUAUUCCAAAUUUGCCAUCAAAAAUCUGAUUUCAUCAAUAUCCUUUUGUGGUCUGCUCACAGCACACAUGAACAUCACUUUAGUGAUGACUUUUUGACUUGCAUGACCUGUACGGGAUUUCUUCCUCCGGUAGAAGGUAGUACCUGUCACUACACUUCGUAAGAUAGAACCAUUUCUCGUCUAUGUGUACCACAUUGUGCAUGCUGUCAAAACUUUAGUUUUUCAUCAGCCACCACUGUGUUUAAAUGACUCAAACUCCACCUCAGUCUAGCAAUCUUGUUCAUGUCGGUAAGUGAUGGCUUUAUCGCAUUUGUAUGUGGCUUUAUAUGCUUAUCUUUGAUCCAUCUACCAACUGUACUUUUGCUAACAUUAAGAUUGACUGCCAACUUUCUUAUUGAAGAUCUUUCAAGUACAGAAAGUGAUUUCACUUUACCUACAUCAAGCUGCAUUUUAUCCUUACGCUGUGCAUAUGACUUUUGCUCUAUAAUGACAGGUUUAUCGGCUGUCAAUAGUGAUUCGACUUGCUUCCAAACCUUGUAGACAGUUCGCUUACUCAUUCCGAAGGUUGAUCCAGCCUCUCUUUGAGCUCCAUAUGAAAGUUUGCCGUUUUUGCAACGUAGAAGAAGCCAUUGACCCACUUUGUUUUUGUCUUCAAUGGUCAAUCGUUUCUUUUGGCUUGGAGCUGCCAUUUUGAAGUUGUCUUCUUUGUGGUUUUGCUUUUAACUUUUCAGAUUUGGAAUUGUAAACAAUCUGAUUUGGCUGAUGUACUUAUAGUCUUCUUUGUUUGAGGGAAAUUUUGAUUUUGGAGUAAUUUAGUUUCCCUCCUAAACAUUUGGCCUAAUCAGAUUCUCGGCCAUUUCCAUGUAGUGUGAUUUUUUUAUUCUAAAAUGGCCUACUUUUGUCUUUUUGCUUAUUCUCUCUAUUUUUAAUUUUCGUGAAUUGUAAACAAUCUGCAUCAUUAAAUUACUGGUGGGACCAGAUGUUAAUAAAGAAUAAAAGAAAGAAACACUUUAUCAAUUAAUCAAUUUAAAAUUCCUUUAUUGGUGGGACCAUUAUUCUACUCACAUAAUACUCAAUUACUUUAUUAAAACCCGUGCCCUUUUGAACUGGAUACAUAAAGCCGGGACGGAGGGAGUAAUAUUUUAUAAUAUAUAUUCAAUUUUCUAAUUUUUAAUUGGUUUAUAUAUUUAUAUUUUAUAAUAUUUUAUAUAUUUUAUAAUAUAUUAAUUGGUUUUUUCAUAAAUUAUAUAUUUAUAUUUUUACAUUAUUUUACAGGUUUUUAAUUAUUUUUUUUGAAAAAAAAGAUUUUUUUUUUGCAUUGGUUCGGUAAAUCGAACUGAAACCGACGGUUUUACCGGUUCGGUUUCGGUUCGGUUUGGCACCCCCAAUUGGUGCGGUUCGGUUCUAAUUUUAACCAUCGGUUCGAUUUUCGGUAUUGAAUUUUUGGUUCGGUUUUGCACCGAACCGAACCGAUGCUAACCCCUAGAUGUAUACGCUAUAAGGGCUACACCUAGAGGGGUGUAUCUGCACAUUUUCCCUUUGGUUAAACUUAAAUCGAAUCUUUGCAACUUUCUUUAUUCAUCGACUAUCCUCUUGUAAAAAUUACUCCCUCCGUCUCAUUGAUCUUGUCAUGUUUUUAUAUUUCGUAAUAAUUUUACAUUACAAACAAUAUGGCUCCACACCUUUAUACACUUUUACUAUACUAAUUAUACUCUCCUUAAUAACUGUGUUUAAAAGAAAUGAGAUAAGCCUAAUGAGAUGGAGGGAGUAAUUACGAAGAUAAAAAAUUUGAAAAUCAAUCACACUUACCAUUAUAUCCCUUAAAUAAAAAUUUAAUAAUUAUCCACUAAUUUUUUAGUUGUGAAUUCGAAUUUUUAAACUCGAAUUCACAACUAACACUAACAAUUUAGAAUGUGGGUGUGACAUUUUUUUUUAAAAAAAACUCCAAUAAAUAGCGUCUCAUCUCACAAUUCUUACACCACUACUAAUCAACACUACACAUAAUAUAUUUCUAAUCACUAAUCACAAAACAAAAUCAAACACUAUUUACAAGAGGGAGUUGGUUAUAUAUAUAGUAUCAUAUAACCAACAAAUACUGAAACUCAAAUUCAUAAGCUAUCUUCUCCACAACGGCCGUCGACCCCUUCCCGCCAUGGCCGCCUCUGAAACAAUCGACGAUCGAUUUCCUCAAAGAUCCCGACGUCGGCAGCUGCUGGCACACCCACUCCAUCAAAGAUUCCUUGUCGGCGGCGAAGUCAUUCAUGUUCGCCAGCAGAAGUUCCGGCAGAGCGAUAUUCUUCGCGCCGCUCACCAUUAUCGCCGCCUGCAGAUAUUCCAGUUUUGACCGCUCCAGCUCCGCCGUCACUCCCUCCGCCGUAUAUAUCUUAACCUGAAAUUACAAACGUCCAAACAUACAUAUGCUUCAAAUCGUCAUUGCAUGUAAUUACUAACGUUGUUCAAUUUGAGAUGGUGAGUUACUGCCGGAGAAGAGCGCGUGCCGCAGCACAAGGCGAAGAUGAUGUUUGGAUCGGGCGUUUCGAGGCCGUAGAGCUCGCCCAAGAUCAUCUCUUUGCUCUCCUUGUCCUUGCCAACAAUCUGUACAGCAAGUUUUUUGAGCCACAAAGAUUAUGUAUCUAUGUUGUAUAAUAUCAGUUUCUGUGUGUGUGUGUGUGUGUUGAUGAGAGAGAGAGGUAUAUAUUACCUCCUUGAUGAGUGAAUCUUGGGGCUUUCUCAAGAUGAAAUGCUCGAUUUCCUGAGCGUUGAUUGUGUUUCCAGCUAUGUUGAGAGUCGCCUACAGAUUCAUCAACACAAGGAGAAGGAGACAACUUGUUUGUUUUGUACGAGGUAAUUGAUUGUGUACGAUAUGAUCAUAUGAUGAUGAAUGUGCAAGAAUUUGUGACCAUAUAUAUAUUGUACCUUGUUGAUUAGUCCUUGCAGGCUCUCAUGGUUGAGAACAGAUGGAACUCCAUACUGCAGAUAUCCCUGAAUCCAGUAUAUCCGUAUGUAUAAAUUCGUGAUAAUCAUAAACAUAUUUAUUUUUAGGCAAGAAAAGAAUGUAUAAAUAUGAAAAAUGUUUACAUGCAUAAUACAAGCAUUGUACAUGUUGAUCCAAAACGACAGCUUCUGUUGAUGACUCAAGAACCUCAAAUCCACCUUCUGAAGCCCAUCCAUCAGCACCCUAAAUUUCUCAACAAAUUAAAAAAGAAAAAGAAAAAGAUAUCAUCAAGAAUAGCAGUAAAACAUAAUAAGGGAUUGAUUAAAAAAAUUGCAAGUCUUACUUCAAUUUCUGAAACAAAGGGACAGAGCUAGAAUUGUGGAUGCAUUUCAAGUCCAUGGAGGUGGAUGUGAAUCUAACCAAGUUCUUGUAAGGGCCAACAUCCCUGGGUAUGGAGGCCUCGGAGUGGAAGAUUCCAUAAGGAUCUUGCUGCCUGGAGUCCUUGUGCAGCAUUAGGCUUGUCUUGGAGUUUGAGUUGGUCUCUGCCCUAAAGCUGAGAGAGAAGUUUGUGGAACGAGCAAUGGAGCCGGACUUCUCGAGCUCCAUCACUCUAGAAGUUCGCAGCAGUCUGACGUAGAUGAAGAUGAGGCACUUCAUUAUGUUCUCGGACAGCUUGUUAGGUGGCCAACGAUGGAUGCUUUCUUCCUCGGUGUGCAAUGGAGUUGAGAGCACUUUGGCUGGAUACUCGGAUGGAACAUCAAGAACGCGAUCUCUCUGCAAUGGUAGCUACUGUUACUAUUCAGAUAUCAUAUAUCAUAUGAUCAUGUGAUUCACAUUACAUACCCUUGGAGUAGGAGUAGGAUGCCUAUAGCUAGUUGUGUCUCUGAGUGGAGAAGGAGAAGGGGGCUUAAGCAGAGCAGAUCUCUUGGAGUGAUUGCUGUUGUUGGUUAGGUGGUAGUCUCCUUUGAUGGCCUUGCUGAUGAAAUGGAGCGCCUUCGUCUCAAAAGCCACCUUCUCCUUCUCAUCAUUAGGCCGUCUUGGUGGAAGUGACCAUUCUUUGUACUUUCUCUCCAUGUUGCCUUCUUUUUCUCGCUUCACUUGAUGUCGAAGCUGGUUGAUCUGGCUCUCGAGACGUGUGAUCUCGUUCUCCACCAUUGCUAGCUCAGCUAGUAUCUCCUUCAUCUGGUUUUUGAUCAACAUAAUGAGAUAUGUGGCAAUGGAUAUAUAUAUGAUUUAGUAUUGCAGAGAGAGACCUACUUUUGGUGGGAGGAAAUUGGGAAUGGUAAGAGCAGAGCCAUCCUGGCGAUGAUGGAGGUGUUCCAGAUACUCAUGCACUUUGUGUUCGUGAGCCAGCAUUUUCUUCAGCACAGAUACCUUUUUUUUUAAUUGCAACAAUUUUAGCAUUUCAUUGGUCUCAGAAUUCAACAAAAUCGAUCAUGUACAUGUACAUGUACCUCACCUCUCUUUCGAGUUCAUCUCUGUUUUGCAGCCCAGUGUUGGCGUACUUGUUCUUUUUCUGACAUAAAUGGAAUCACGACAUAAGUCCAAACAAAGCACGUUUAACAUUGGAAACACGUGUGGGUGAGAGAGAGAACUUACAAAUUCAAAGGGGAGGUUAAGUGAGGAGUCCAUGAGAGGAAUUAGAGAAGCCAAGCAGAGGUUCUUGAAACGCUCCCAUGUGCUGGAACAAGAAGAAGAAGAGAAAUUGUUGAGAAUUUUUGGCUUGUGAUUGAAGCAGCGGAUGUUGUUGGUGUAAAUUGAUGCAGUUGGUGAAGUGUAAGGGUGUGAGAGGCAAGUAGAAGAAGAUGAAGAGGAGCUUUCGAAUUCAAUCUCUGCCUGAACUAACUUCUUUGCUUGCAGUUGCUGGUGGGCCAUCCUGCCGUAGCUUGCACUUGUUCUUUUCUUUUUCAUUUUUCUUUUUUUUCAUCUUUUUGGGGGAAUGUAAAUUCAGAUUUAUAUAGACUUCGUAUUUAUAUAUAGUAAUGAAUGGGUGACUAUAAUUCUCUCUAAAAAAAUGAUGGAUGAUUAUAAUAAGUAUGCAUGGUAACAUUCUUUUGAAAAGGAAAUUUCCAUUAGAAUUGUUUUGAACAAGAUUUUGUGGGUUUGGAUUUGUAUUAUUGCAAGAAGAAAUUUGUAUUUAGAUUGCGGUUAUGUGAGUAUUAUACUUAUUUGCUACAUUAAAUAAUGGAUGGGAUUUAUCUUUGAAGUGAAGUGAUGAAAAUACUUAGAAACUUGAGACGUUAAACGUUUGAUGACGGAUUUUUCUUAGGUUUGAAGAUGUUAGUUCAGUUGAUGAGUCAUCGACUGAAGAUGACGAAUAUGGUUUUAAAAUAUUUCCAUAAACUUUGAUAUGGGAGGAGGGGUGGUUAAAUAUCAGACAUUACAACAUAAAUCGAAGGUACCAACCAAACCAAUCUUAUUUUUAAUUUUACUUGUACAAUUGAUUAUUCGUCCAAGCUCUAAAUUUAAAUUUUCUUUAAAGUUACUUAUUGAUUUUAAAUUAUACUACUAUUUAAUAUAUACUAGUAUACGCUCAUUCGUGCGAUGCACGAUGGACAUCGAAAUUAAGAGGUAUUCAGACUAAAAAAUUUAAGGAGGUUGGUAAAUUUUAUAUAAAAAUAUCCUUAAAUUUUAUGAAAAAUAUUUUAAUACACAUUCUUCAUAAAGUAGGGGAUUUAAAUAUUAUAUGAAAAUUUAUUCAUAUGCCUAGUUUAUAUAUGGAUUGGUUACUGUGAAAAUUAUGUUUUUCGUAAGAAUGUGAGAAUAUUGUAUUGAAUUUAUAAAGUUAAUGCAUUUUAAAAUAUGUAUAUUACCAAAAAAAAUAUUGUUAAAUUAAAUAAAUAUAAAUCAUAUGUUCAAUUCUACUUUUUUUACAGGAAAAAUAAAUUACAAAUCUAUGAAUUUAUCUUCUUCUUUUUUUCUAUUAGAUUAAAGAAUUCUAAAAUAAACUAAUAUAAACUCCUACACCAAGUUGGAUUUUAAAAAAAUAUUAUAAUUAAAACUCAUGUAAAACUCAAUUGUAUAUCAUUAAAUUUCAUAUUUUUAUAUAUAACCAAUACGAAAUAAUCUAUUGAAGCAAUCCAAACAUAUGACAAAACAUAUAAAAAUAAUUAAAUGCACUAUGGUCCUUAUCUCUCUACACUAAUAACAAUAAUAAAAAAAAAACCUAUUAGUAUAACGCAAAAAGAAAUUAUGAAAAACUCAUGCAAGUUUAAAACAUGAAUAUAGUGAAAAAAUAAAAAUAAAAAACUUGAAAUAAAAGAGUAAUAAAAAUAAUUGCAGUCUUGCAUAAUAAAAUGUACAUAAUUUUUCAUGAUUUCAUAAAAUAUUUUUAUGCAAAUAAAAAAAAAGAUGAAAAACUAACUUCAUUUAUAAAAUAAGAGAGAGAAAGAGAUUAAUUUUAAAAAAAAAAUUUGAAUAUCUUCUUUUUAGUUUAAAGUUUUUUUUAUAUACUAUUAUAAAUUAAAUUAAAGCUCAUGUCAUGAUAUUUAAUUUGAUAUGCGUAUUAAUUUUUUUUAAUUAAUUUAAAUGUAUAAAUUUUUAGGAAAAACAAAAAUUACUAAACGUAAAAAAAAAAAAAUUAAAGAAAAGAAAACCAAAAUUGAAAAUUGCAAAGAAAAAGAAAAAGGAAAAAAGAGAGGGAAAAAGUGAGUGACGGUGGUUGUUGGUUAGAAGUGAGAGAAAUUGGUUAAAUUUAGAGAAAAUGGGAGAGAGAAAAUUUGGCGGUAAAAAGUUACCGUUGUACUGAUCUUUUAUACUAUUAUUAUAUAUAGAUUUGCGGCAGAUCAUAUGACAACUAAUAAGUCAAGAUUCGUUAGAUAAUAUUUAUGUCGAAUACAAAACUAUAUUUUACGACAUAUGUAUAAUAUUAUUAGUAAUUUGGUAGUGAUUGAAUUUCGAGUCUUGAUUCAUUAGACACUUUUCCUAAUCUUUUUUAUUAUGUGUAUACCAAUAAUGAUAUGAAUCUACUAGAGAUGUCAAAAAAGCCCGAAACCGACGGAUCAAUUCGAAUAGACCGAUAAAAAAGGUGGGUUAGGGCUGAAAAUUUUUAGACCGAAAAAAAUUUAGCCCGAAUGGCCCGAACCGAAAAUAGCCCGAGCCCGAUAAAUUUGUGGGCCCGAACGGGCUAGCCCGAAACCGAGUGGGUUAGGGUUAGGGUCGAAAAAUUUUAGCCCGAAAAAUAAAAAAACCGACUAGCCCGAACCGAAAAUAACCCGAAAUCGAAUGGGUUGACCCGAAAUCGAGUGGGUUGGCCCGAUUGACAUCCCUAGAAUCUACACAUUCAAAACGAUAAUGCAAUACAAGGUAGCGGUUGUAGAUUCAUAUAAAUUAUAAAAAGUAUUAUUAUAAUUAUGUAAAAUAAAUUUUUUCGUGCGAAUGUCUACAUGGUGCGAACUAUUCACAUAUUCUAUGUGACGUACACACAAUAUACCACAUUAUGCAAAUAGAUUUGUUUUUGCAAUUUGCAAGAUAUAUCUUAGAAAUUGAUUUUAGAGGUGUAUUUAUUUUUCUUGAACUUCAUACUGGAAGGUUAUGCGUUGCAUUAAUUAUCAAACAUCGCAAAAUAACUUGAGAUAGACAUUAAGAAAUUAGACAUGAAUCUAUAGGGAAUGAAAUGAACUUUUAUACACACAUGUCAAGAAACACAAUCACAUUUNUAUUUCAAAAAACAAAAUCCUUUUGGAAUAAUCAUGAGAAUAAGUAAAUAAAUGAAUAGAACCAUAUAUAAAAAUACCUGGCAUUGCAAAAUUUCAUUUCUUGUGAAAUCGUACCUUCAAAAAUCUGUAGCCCAUGCCAUUUGCAAUAAACAAUCUCAUAUUGCGUGUAUCUGCAUUACUCACAAAUUAUAAUUUCAAAUUUCCCUGACACGAUUUUUUAUAAUUAAAAUUAUUAUGACUUCUUAUGUUAGGAUUUAUUUAUAUACAUCCCCUUAAACGUCUUCUUUAUUUAAAUUUGAAAUUCUAACCAUGUUCGGAAAUCCUCCAGCCUUUUUAGUAUAAAACUUAUGAGUUACUUUACUUUGUAUUUUUCAUUAAUUGUGCUUUAUAAUGAAACCUUGUUAAUUUUAUGGCAAAUUGUGCAAGUGCUUGGGCUUCUGAUGGGCCGAAUACAAGAUGGGCGAUUCUUUGUGAUUUUGAGUGGGUAGUUCACUUAUGCAAAUGAGCCUCUUGGUAAAUUAAUACUCUUCGAUCGCAACAUAAUGGUGCGCUUAUUUUCGGGAUUUAAGGAAUAUAAGAUUAUAAUGUAAAAGUAUAUAAAGGUAAAAGGUGUGUGAGGCUAUAUUAUUUAUAGUGUAAAAUUAUUAUAAAAAAAAUCACCACUUUAGUUGGAACGACUCAAAAAAAAUUACGCACCGUUUUUGUUGGGACGGAGGAAGAGAAAGUAAUAUAUAAUCAAUUAAUGAUAAACGAAGCCCUGUCGUCGGCGCCACCUUUCUUUGGACUUGAGUUGAGCAGUUGAUAGUUCACCUCUGCCGCCGUUGAAGGAACCACUUUUCGUUUUCGCAGUCGAGAAAUGGCCUCUCUUUUCAAUCACAUCUCUAAAUCCUUGCGUCACAAACAUUUAUAUUCUAAACUCAGCAGAAGCAUACAAGACUUGGUAUCCGCUGACAUCAAUUCAAAUCCACUCGCCCCAUCAUUCCAAGGUGCGACUUGCUCUCAUUCACAUACACACAUGCGCACUAAUUCACCCUUGGGUUUUGCAGUAUUUUAGUUGAAUGUUUGGUAUUGUUGCUUGUUUGUUGAGUGAAGUUUUUCUUUUUAGCUGUUUUAUUUCACAAGGUCUGGUUUUUGGCGAGGAUACUUGUUUUUCCCCCUUCGUUCAUAUUGUAUAUGUUUUAUGAUUUUUUACUCAGUUUCUUAUACUCUUAAUUUUUUGUUCCCUUUAAGAAUUUGAGCUGAAAUAAUCUGCAAUCUGUGUCCACGAAAACAUUGGAAAAGGAUAGGUAGAUUAACAUAUUUGAUUCUCUUAGGCAGAAGAUAUGUGAAGACUGAAGACUUAGGUAGUUUUUAACUGCUAGGAGCAAAAGAGUUGCUGAAAAAAUGAAACAAAGUUAAUUGGUGGCUGAAUUGUGAGAGAAGAUUUUCAAUGUGAUAUAUGGGAAACCAUUUUGUAUCACUAAGAACAUGCAUUGAAAAAUGCAAAUGUAUUUGCUAGUAUUUUAGGUGAAAGAAUUCUGAUUUUUUCCGGUAAAAUGAAAACAUUGCCUGCGACCUGUAUUCGUGGCUGAGUUUACAUGUUACAUGAAUUCCAAGUCUACAAAACAUCCUUAUAAAAGUACUGUUUCGAUUAAGGUACCCUUUUAAACUUCCAUGGUAAUAUUGUUAUUGCAGCAAGAUUUGUGGUCACUGCUGUGACAAAAAUUGCUGGAUUUGAUGAAAUGGUUUCUAGCACACAGAGGAGAUUUUAUUUGCUAGGUGGGAAAGGAGGUGUUGGGAAAACAAGUUGUGCAGCAUCUCUUGCUGUAAAAUUAGCGAAUCAUGGUCACCCCACUAUGGUGGUGUCUACAGAUCCUGCUCAUUCAUUAAGCGAUUCUUUUGAUCAAGUAAUGUCUCGUACUCAUGUGUAUACUUGAGAGUUUGAUUUUUAAUCUUAAAAGACAAUGCCAUUUUCUCAAUGUGUAUUCCGUAGAAUUUGGCUGGAGGGAUGCUUGUUCCCGUACAAGGUGUGGAUUCUCCCUUGUAUGCACUUGAGGUAUCGAUUUCUUGAUAUGACGCACAGAUCUCUCUUUCUCUAAGUGUUAGUUUUUGAUUAUGCAUUGUAUUUGUCGUAUGAAAGUUAAACCCUGAAAAGGAGAGGGAAGAAUUGAGUUCCAGAGGGCAGCACGAUGAAGGGGCAGUUAGAAACGUCAUGGACAGUAUGGGCUUCGGGGGGCUUGUUGGCAAGGUGAGAACAGGUAUUACUUGUCAGUUUGCCUUUCUUAUGUUGCCCUUAGUUUCAGAGAUUUAUUCGGUUCCUCAACUUUUCUGUGAAUUGCUGGUACAUCCGUACAUGUAUUAUGGCAUCUGUUGUAGAUUUAUGAUCAAAGAAGACAUUCAAAGACGAAACUGAUAACCGUUGCACUCAUUUAGCAAAUUAAGCCUUAGUUUCACUUAUGUAAGGGUAAAGUAGCUGCUGAGUUAGGAAGCUCAUUGUGUAUUUCAUAUCAAAUAUAUUUUUGUUAAUUCUCAUGGUGGGUUAUGGAAAGAGGAAUUGCUCGGAACAGUUGCUUUCGGUUCGAUGGAGCUGGAGCUAUGUAAUGAGUAAUAUCUUACUAUUCAGCUGAUUUGAGCAUGUAAUACUAAAUGUAGUCAAAUCUCAAAUAGCUAUAGUUAAUAUUUCAGGCUUUUGAUGAACUAGAAAGAUGAUCAUGUACCAUUUAUUCUUGUCUCGUACUUGCUUCUUUCUUGAGCAGAUGGGAGACCUCAAACUUGAAGAGCUGUUGGACACUCCUCCUCCUGGUCUAGAUGAAGUUAUUGCAAUUUCCAAGGUGCGUAUAAUAAAUUAUUUCUAUUAACCCAUUUUUGGAUAUAUGCUAAUUUAUUAUUAUAUCAUCUUACAGGUCAUGCAUUUUUUGGAGUCACCGGAGUAUAGUAAAUUCAGUCGCAUUGUGUUUGAUACGGCUCCCACGGUAAGGGAUUAGUCUUUGUUUCUUUGCCGACAGUUACAGAAGAUCCGCUAAUAUGAGUAUUGUAGGGUCACACACUUCGACUAUUGUCGCUACCUGAUUUCCUUGAUGCAUCUAUAGGCAAGAUGAUGAAGGUGAGUACGUUUUUGUGUUUGUGCACUUGCGAUUCUCUAUAUGCUCGACUUCUUUGCCCUGCUUCCCCCAUCCUUAAGUUAGCGAUUUUGGUAGGGAAAUAGAAUUAUUAAAAAAUUUAUCCUAUUAUAUAUCUCAAGCAAACAAAAUCCCAUAUUUCCUGUCUAGCUAGUUGUAAUUGUAUGCAGUAUGUACAACUGCUUCACUUGAUAUUGACAUGGUUUAAUUUGUCUUGAAUAUUCGUAGUAGGGAUUUAAUUAGUUGUACUGAUUUAACACCCUUUACAUAUGGCUGAAUUCAGAUCAAGAAGAAGAUAGCUUCAGCAACAGCAGCCCUUAAAUCUGCAUUUGGAAAAGGAGAACCACAACAAGAUGAUGUAAGAACCUCCUUAGUAUUUUCCUCAAUAUAAGAGAAAGAAAAAAAGAAACUCCUUAUUAUCUUUGUAUUCUCUUAUGCUCUCAUUUUAUAAGAGGCUUUCUAGUAAUUAACAGUUUACUUAUUCAGAAAGGAUUAGUACAGCCUUUUGUUCCCCAAUUUUCAUCUAGCUCUUAUGAUUCUGUUCUUUAUCAUUAAUUUUUUCUAAAUUUUUGCAGAAUGACAAGUUAGAGCAGCUAAGGUUAAGCAUGGGAAAAGUGCGAGAUCUUUUCCGUGACCCAGAGACCACAGAGUUUGUGAUCGUAACAAUCCCCACUGUAAUGAAUCCACACAGAUAGCUUUCAGUUUAAUUUCUCUUAUAAGAUCAAUGAAAACAAUGAUAUAUCUGCCAUCAUUUUUUCCUAAUUAAAUUUCUCAUUUAUAACCAGAACCACUUGGAUGCUAUAGAUAUUCACAAUCUUCUCAUAUCUGAAUUCACCACACUCAACAUCUGUAACAAGUUAUUAAUCAAUCAUUAUCCCUAUGUGAUUAGGAAAAGGGUAUUCAACACGUCCAUUUUCUGUUAAACUGCUGCCUUGACUGCUUCCUGGUGUAAUAAUGUGUAGGUGAUGGCAAUCAAUGAAUCUUCAAGACUAUGUGCAUCCUUAAGGAAGGAGAAAGUUCCAGUGAACAGACUAGUCAUAAAUCAAUUGUUACCUCCAUCGGCAUCUGACUGCAAGUUUUGCUCAAUGAGAAGGAAGGUAAGAUUGAAUCUGAAAUUGUUUCUCAGCUUCAUCUUGGUUUUGAUUUGGGCCUAGUGGAGCCACGGAAGUUUAUACCGGUAUAUAUAACGUUCUUCUCAGUAAAAGUCUAGGAAUAACAUCUUAAAUACCGGNUUGUGCUUGAACAUCUGAAUCUCGAAUAUGCUUAGAUACUUCAAAUUAGAUCAAGUCUUCAGCAUUCAGAAAAGUUCUAUCCUUUUUGUAGUAUAAAAUCUAAUAUUUGUAAGAUACUACAUAUAUACUAAUCAUAAAAGAAAAAUUCAAUUAAGAUACGAGGAUGCAUCUAAAGCUUCAUAUUUCAUUUUCUCUAGGACCAAAGACGUGCUCUUGAUAUGAUCGAGAAAGACCCACAGCUGGCAAAACUGAAGCGAAUUGAGUCGCCUCUAGUUGAUGUAGAAAUAAGGGGUGUCCCAGCUCUUAAAUUUAUGGGAGAUAUGGUUUGGAGAUGAAGCACUAUCUUGAUAGAUAGCUGUAUUUCAUCCCACUUCUACAUAUGUUUCAAGAAGUUCAUUGAAUAUCUUAUUUAUCGUCCUGUUUCACAUACCAUGGAGCAUCUUGUAACUCAAGAUGGAACUAAGACAGAAUUUGAGAAAUCAAAUCUUCCUUCAUUUACCUUUCACAAAUGCAAUAACAAUGUCUUCUUUGUCUAUGUUUCAUCUCGUAUUUCAUUGGUAGGCGGGGAUAUAUCCCCGGAGGCAAGAAUUUUGCUUGAAUAUGAUACAACAACACCUAACAUGUUUCUCCACUCUCAUAGGCAUCCUAGGAUACAAACAUACUAUCAAUAAGAUCUCUAACUCUCACUGCUAACUGUAUCCCAUGACAAGGUUUGUCUGAAAAUUUUCCUAACUAUAAAUCUUGCCCUUCCCUUUACCUCUCUGCUACAAGAAAAUCAAAACCAGCUAGAUCUUCUGUAACUAUUUCUUCUGGAAAGUGACCAGACAGAAAAAGGCCACCCCUCGACUAAAUAUACCAGUCGCGAUGAGGUAUGCCAAACAGGGGUAGUAGUCGUCGAGGUCAUAACCUCUCUGUCUGAUUGCACCACAUCUUUGAAUAAGCCAUACCCCAGAAUACCUGCAACAGCAGGCAACAGAUGCUGAAUACUCUUGCAAUUUUUAUUGUUUUUGAGAGUAUGGCAUGCAGUUCAUACCUUUCUGCAUUUGCAAGCAGGAAUGCUUCCAGAGCCCAUUUUGUGUAGCAAUAGUUUCCUAUUUUUGAUGCAAAUGAAUCCGCAUCUUGGUUGGCGAUGAGAGUAAGAACAACAGGGAGCAACACCGACCACUGGAAAGGUGCAAAAACACAGGAUGUAGUCAAGACUUAAGUACUCAAGAAGACGAACGCCAAAAAACACUCUCAGAGAAGACAGAAUUGCGCACCAGUUGGGCUGGAGCAGGUUCGUAGUAGAUUGCAAGAACGUAGGCUAUGCCAGUAACGCAGUAUACGAGACACAGCAAGACCAUGUAGUUGUCAAAAAUGGUAGACCUGGGAUUGUUGAAGAAAUAGAACAUCGAUAGGUAGACAGCAGGCUUUAUGAUGGUGUUGAAAUGAUCGACAGAGUCCUUUGCUAGGAAAUAAGCCAAGCUGCUCAUGCCAGCAGCACUCUCUCUCCAGUAAUGCAACUUGUCCAGAGAAAACGAUCUCAAAGCAGCAAUCUUGGUGAGCAGGGCUACACGAAAACAUUGGUAAACAUCAGUUUAGUUGUGCUGUACAUUCUCAAAGCAGCAAUCUUUUUAGAUGGAAUUCAUGACUUACAGACUCCAAUGACUGUAUACAGAUAUCCCGUUGAGCCAAAGGUUUCGUCGCUCACUUUUGCAAGUGUUCCUAAGCAUAUUCCUGCCAGUAGUAGGAUAAGAUAGUCCACAGCUUGUGUUCUGGCUUCUCUUAGUCGUUGCUUUCCGACUCUGAGACGAAACUAUUGUGCAUCAGCAAUCAAGAGGUAAGAUGCUGUUGCUUUUACUCUCAAUUUAAGCUUUCAUCUCAUACAAUCUUAGAUUAUGCUUUUAGUAGAGAGAGUUUCCACCAAAAUGAAUGUAGAUAUUACCUCCCUAAGAAAAACUUAUACUGCAUGACGACGUUUGGUGUGUUUCGAUUAGACAAGUCUUGGGACCUGUUGAAAUUAAGCCAUAUGUGAUCUUUCUUCUGGCCUACGGUAAACUUAACAUCCUGCCAAAGAUCUCCAGCAAAAGACUGGUCCGGGGUAGCACUUGCAGGCGUCAUUCCUCCAUGGGAUGAGUCGUCAGUGGCAAUGGACGAGACCCCUGCAGAAUCUAGCAUGUCGGGUGGUACAGGAUAACCAUUGUGAAGCAUCCAUCUGAGCGGAAGCUCCUUAAAUUUGACAGUCGCGUUUGCAUUUGGUUUCACUAUUCCUUCCAAUAUGUCAAUGUAGUAAUCAGGAGGAUUCACUCUUUCAGGGACAACGAUCCCUAGACCAGAAAAGUAUUCCUCGACUUUCUUCACUGGUCCGUGAUACACCGUGAGGCCACCCUUAGCUAGAAGUAUCAAAUCAUCGAACAUCUUGUAUAAUGUGUAACUGCAGAAAGAAAUGGUUGGUGAUUAGCAUCAGAAAUCUCCGGGACACCUUAGCUUUCUCGAAGAACAGACACACGCUUUAGCUCAUAAAUAGUGAUGAACUCCUUAGAUUACCUUGGUUGGUGAACCACCAUGCAUAUGUUUACUCCUUCAAGAGCUUCACGACGCAGGGCUCUGAGUAGCAGCAGAGAAGAAGAACUGUCUAGGCCAGACGUAGGCUCGUCUAAGAUUAACAGCGAAGGCUCCAUAACCAUUUCAAGCCCGACAUUCACUCGUUUCCUCUGACCUCCAGAGAUUCCUCUCUUCUCAACAGUUCCAACUAGGGAGUCCCUAAUGUGCUGCAACCCUAGGGAUUCGAUUACUCUCUCAACAACUAGAACUUUCUCUGCUUUUUCAAGAUCAGCCGCGAGUCUACAGAAAAUUUUAGGGAUUAGAACCACGAAGAUCAUUAUAAACACAGCAUGAGUAAUCAUAUAAAUUGACAGAAAUGUACCUGCAUCUAGCACUGAACCAGAGAUUCUCCUCCACUGUCAAAUUUCCAUGAACUAUAUCAUCUUGAGGAACAUAUCCGAUAAUUCUUUUGUAUGAUUGCAUAGGUUCGUUCUUCCCGUUGAUAAGGAUGGAGCCAGUGAUGGUGCAUCCAGCAGCUUUUCCCAGCAAGGCUGAGAGGAAUGUCGUCUUCCCAGCACCCGACGGACCCAUGACAGCAGAAACGUGGCCAGGUACGAGCUUCCCUGUGACGCACCUCAAGAGAUGCUUGUUUUUACCCUUCAACGUGAGAGUCAAGUCUUGGAAGAACACUUCAAUAGGCGGCCUACUUGAGAAUUCCAAAUCCGAAGCCACGGAUAUGACACCGGAGAAUGUCAAAUUCUUGGUCUGCUCCUGUAGAGCCUUCUCCUUCUCGAUCUGGCCGUAGGCAUACUUGAAGAUCUGGCUGCGCGUGUGCAGCUGCUUCCCCUUCCCCUGCUUCUUCAGAUUCUUGUCUCCGAUCUCCACGUUGAACCCCUCGUCGUUAUCAGGAUUCUCUUCGAGGUCGCGCAGCAUCUUGGUGAGGUUGCUUUCCUUUUUCUUCUUCCCUUUGAGCUCACCGGACAUUGAAGCCAAUGCUGCAUCCGAUCCGGGUUUAGGUUGGCCCGAGCCCUUAUGCGGCUCGUUCAGCACGGACUUCUUGCGGGAGAAUGUCCGUGACAACUGUGCCGUUAACUCUGCACCUUUCCGUGCGACAUCCUUGGCGGACUUCCAUCUCUCGCGAGCCUGCACCGUCUCUCUGGCGCUCCUCGCUGCGGCUUCCCUUGACUUGGCCUGCCUCUUCUCUCGAUCGCUCAGGACUUGCCCCGAGCAGUUGUAUAUGAUGAGAAGGAUCAUAGUGAUCCCACCCUACAUUAACAUCAACGCCGCAUUUCAACCAAAUCCUUUGUCUCUUACAAGAGAAAACAAAGCAAGCAGUAGCAGUCGAAGAAGAAGAAGAAGCUUACGAAGAAGAUGAUUCCGUAAGCCGUGAUAUUCUGAUUCUCAGUUUGCUGGUCACAGCCUGCGAGCUGAAAGCAACCUGCAACUCAUCCAUGCUGAGAUUCAUCAUCAUUCUUAAAUGAUAAAGACACAGAAACACAUGUAGCAAGACUCGACUUACGCAUUUGAGCAGUGGAACCAGACCUACAGAAAUGCCUGCAACACAUUGAAGAAGAAGAAGUUUUGAGUAGGAGAAUUAAUGAAUCAUGUCUGGAAACAAGUAAUACCAACCCCUCGGUGCAGGGGAGUCUUUGGGUGGUGGUGGGACAGUAAAAUCCUCCGGAACAGAACAACUCGUAGCCAGUGUUAAAAUCAGACCAGAUAUCGGCGCCGCCGCAGCUGUGGUUGGCUUGCCCUGGAGGUAGUUGAUAGCGGUACCUUCCAAAUUUCUCAGAAUGUCAGCAUCAAUCAUACAUACACAUAUAUAUACAAGAAUUGAAGGCUUACGGAUCACAGACACCGGUGGCUUGAUUGAGUUGAGCUCGAGGGCAGUAAGCUCCCAAGGGGCACGCUUCAAGAAACAGACAAAUAUUUUUGAAAAGUGCAUAUGGAUUAUGAAAGUUAGUAUAUUUAAGUGGAAAGAUAGAGCUCACGAAUCAUGCAAGUAAGGCCAUGGGGACAGAAGAAGCCAGGGCAACAAGGCUGACAGUCAAGAACUCUCUCCGGUAUCUCUUUGUCAUUUUUGAUGUCAACAUUGUCUUCUUUCUUGACAUUGCACGCCCAUCCGGGCUCGCAACCGGCUGGCCACGCCGUCAAGUUGCAGUUCUUGUUUGGUCUCAGAUAGUAACUGCUCCUCAGCCCUCCUCCCCCGCCGCCCAACAGACUCUGCCCGUAGAACUUCACCUCCGCCGCCGUGCACAGCCGCUGCAUAGCAUCUGCACAACCCAUUCAUUAUCAGACCAUUCAUCAUCAUCAUCAUCAUAUAGCCAAUGCCAUUCAUUGAUUGUCUACGUGCCUUUGUCGCCUCUCACGCAUUCCGCCAAAAACUGCGUGUUCUUGGAGAAAUUAAACGCCUUAUCCCAUUCAGCGUCCCUACAUGCAAAUUAAUUAGCCAUGAAAUCGAUGAUUAGGAUUUGGUGAGAGAUGUUUGUUAUUAAUUACAUAUCUCUGAUGCAGAAGCCGAGAUGCUUCUUGGCAUCGGGGCCCAAGAAGGCGGAGAAAUUGUUGAAGCGGUUGAACAUGGUCUUGGAGAGCAGCUGCAUGGCCGCCGGGUUAUCGGCGGCAGCGGCGGCGGCGGCGGCGGGGUCUUGUGGUGUUGGUUGUGGUUGCGGUUGCGCGUGGCUCACCCGCCAUAUUGUUUGAAGGAUUAGCGUGAGUGUUAUCGCCGACGACAAUAUUCUCAUUUCAAGCAUCGUGUCAUUCUCAUUUGUUUUGCGAAGAUUCAACAAAAUCGUCUUCUUCCUUGGUUUCUGUUUUUUCUAGAGAGAGAGAGAGAGGGAUGUUCCUUCGGAGUGUGGUUGUGGAGGGAAGAAAUGGCGGGGAGGUGAUUUAGGGAGUUGAAGAGUGUGGACCGUUGGAUUGACUUUCAAUUAUUCUUUUCUUUUUUCAGAAACCGGGUUGUUAUAUAUAAGUAUUUAACUUAGUUUCCCAAAUAGGGUGGUCAAAAAUAAAUUCAUAAAUUUUUAAUAAAAAAAUUUAGAAUUAUAUUAAAACAUUCUUUUACUAACAUGUCUUUAUUCAAUGUUGAUGACAAUAACAUAUGAACUACUAAUAGUGACAAAAUAGAAUAAUUGUAUAUAAAUUAUAUUUUCAUAUAAUAUUAGAUAUAUUUUUUUGUACUUUUAUAAAGAUUAAAAGAUGACUAAUUUCAUGAGAUGGACGAAGUAUUAAUUAAAAGAGGUUGAAUUGUGGAACCAAUCUACAUAAUAAUAUAUAAUAACAAAGUCGGCUUACCGUAAAUAGUAACUUCUGUUUUUCUACUUUUUUAUCUUUUUAUUUUUAAAUUUUGUUAACACAUUCAUUAAUUACGUUGAUAUAAAUGCAUUAAUUUCAAUUGUACAAAUAUAAAUGCAUUUAGGUAGUUAAUUAAGUCAAUUAAAAGUAAUUUUCUUUUUUAAAUAUAAUUAAAAUGAGUUACUUAAACUCAUAUAAAAAUGAAUUGACUUUUUCCUAAAAAAAAUGAAUUGACUUAAUUUAUGUUUUGAAGGUGUUGAUUAGAAAAAAAAUUGAGGCUAAAGAUAUUCAAAGUUAUAUAUAUACGAAAAAUUAAUUAUAAAUUACUCCCUCCGUCCCGCUAAAGUUGGCAACUUUCAUUUCGGCACGGAGAUUAAGAAAUUGAGUGUUAUAUGUUUUAAUAGAGUGUGGCCUACAAUUGUUGACCAAAUUAGUGAGUAAUUGCUGACUUAAUUAAAGUAAUUUUGGCAUUUUUAGAAAGUGGCCUACAAUUGUUGACCAAAUUAGUGAGUAAUUGUUGAUUUAAUUAAAGUAAAUUUUUGCCAUUUUUAGAAAGUGGCCAACUUUAGUGGGACACCCAAAAUAGAAAUGUUGCCAACUUUAAUGGGACGGAGGGAGUAUAAGAUUAGAUAUAAAAAUAAAUUGACUAAAUUUAUGUUUUGAAACUAUUGAUUAUAAAAAGGUUGAGGCUAAAAAUAUUCAAAGUUAUAUAUGUACGCCAAAUUAAUUAUCAAUUAUAUAUAGAAUUAGAUUUGUCAAUCAAGCAAUUAUUGAUUCGCCACCUUAAAUCACAAUAUAAAUAUCUUAAAAUCAACAAUAUUAUCACUCUAUUUUGUACUCCCUUCGUCCCACUCCAAAUGUCUUAUUACUUUUGGGCACGGAGAUUAAAAAAUGUGUAUAAAGUAGAUAAAGUAUGUAUAAAGUAGAUAAAGCGAGUUGGUGGAAAUUGUUUAAAUAUUAAGUAUAGAGAGAUAGUGUAUUGCCAAAAAAGGUAUGGGUCAUUUGGAGCGGGAUGGAGGGAGUAUGCCUCUCAAAAUCUUAGCAAAAUUCUUAAUCCUCUUUGCAAAUUUCCCCCAGCUGAUGAAUAUCUUCCCCGUCACCGAUUAUAUUUCUCUUGAGACAACAUCUUUGACGCUGCGACUUAUAUGCGUCUGCUGAAAUUGAAGAAGCAAAUGCAGAGACAAUGAAAAGGAAUGAAAAGCUGCAAAUUUUAUGCCUAAACUGCAAAGUAAUUUAUGUACGUCUCAAAUGUAAAAAAUAUAUCAAAUAAUCUAUUGUUCAUAUUUGUUUUAUCCAACUGUCUUCUUAUAUAACCGUAGACCGUAGUAUUUAUUGGCACAACUUCAUACUUUUUCACAGCAUCGGCUCUGUUUUUAACGAACAACCUCUAUCAUAUCAUAAUUAAUAAAUUUCUUACAAAUCUAAUAUCCACUUCUUUCUCAUGCGUUAGAUGAAAUGUUGAUCAUGUACAUAAUAAAUUAAGGGUAUGAUAAUUUAACUCUUAUCACUUGGUUUUGUACCAUAUUACAUUGUUCAUUUCUCAUCAUCUCUUCUCAUGCAUUUUUUUAUUGUUAAACAAAUAAAUUUAAAGAUUAGGUGAUGUUUGACUCGAAAUUGAAACAUUUUGCCUUAGGUUCAUACGUUUAUAUUUUAUAUUUAUGUUAGCAACUUCAAGUUUCAAGGUAACUUGGUGUUUUAAGGUAGUGCUUGAUAUGACUCUCCUAAAAUCUAUCUCUUUGUGUAUUUGUGUGUGAUAUUUUUGAAUAUCUUUAAAAUCUUGGAAUCUCCCAUAAUCAAUCGUGGAAUUAAAAUCUGUACAAGCUAUAAUAUUAUAGUAUGAAUGUGGUGUUGCAAUUGAAGGCAAUUAUAUUAUAUGGAAUGAAAUUGAGUGCAGCAACUCUAUUGUUUUUCUUGAAUUUGUGUAAGAGACAAUAUUUUGGGAUGUAAGAAAUUACAUACUCCAUCCGUCCGCCAAGAUUAUGUAAAAUUGCUUGGGCACAAGAUUUAAUAAAAUUGGUGAUGAUUUUGAUGUAGUGGAGAAAGGGUUCCACCACUUUAUGAGAUGUGUGGUUGAGAUUGAAUUUGAGGUGAGUUUUUUGUAAAUAAAUAGUGUUAGUAAGGAUAAAAUAUUAAAGAAGAUGGUGGGACCAUUGCCUUAAUCUUGUCGGACGCCCGAUAUAGUAAUUUUUACAUAAUCUUGGCGAACGGAGGGAGUAUAUAAUACGAGAAAAUGAUUAUUAUAUUUGUGUUAGCACAAAUAUGUAUUGCUUUGUUAGUGAUUGAGGUAGAAUUGGUUCGAUCUCUAGAGAAAUAUUUGCGGCUAUAUAUGAGUCUUUUUUUGUUCAUUGUUUCCAUUAUGGAAACUAAUUUAAUUUAUUUUUAUGCUAAUCAGUAAAUUAUAGUAAUAAAUAAAUUUGCAACUUAUUGUAUCAAUUACAUGAUGUCUAUGUUUGAGUUUGAGUUCAACUAAUUGACAUAGAAGCAAUGAUCUUGAAUACUACUAAUUGAAAAUUUUGAUUCGGGUAUCCAAAUUUGAAUCAUUCGACAAGCCUAAUCAUGACCUAGAUUGUAGAUAAUUAUAUUUUUAAAACAUAAAAAUAAGUAAGUGUUAAAAUACAUAAUAAACAUUUAUAUGGACUUCAUUGUUGUUUUAAUCCACAAAAUUCCAAUAACGAGAUAAAUUUGAUGGUCAUAACUCCGGUCAUGUUAUUAAGGAACAUUGACCAUUCUCAAGGAGUGUGUAAUAGAACACAUUUGGUGAUUACAAGACUUGGUAACCACAUGUUGGAGGCUAAAACAUUAAUCGAUACUAAUUCUGGCUAAAAAGUGUUGAUUUCUAGAAUGUCUCUGACUCCAUCAAAUUCACGACUUCCAUUCAAGUUCGAAUAGAGACAAUUUCCUCUUAUUAUUUUGUAUGUCAUAACAAUCAACAAGAGUCGAGAAUAAUCUAUGCCACUCGUGAAGUUUUUUCUAAAGAAAUCAGUAUUCUCUUAUGGUCAACUUUACGUCGUUGUUUCAAGAGUAAAAAGUCGGAGUGGCUUGGAGAUUUCAGCAUGUGAUAAACAUAAUAAUAUCAUAUCAAGUACAAUGAAUAUAAAUAAAGGCAAAGAAUCAGCCGUGACAACAUAGCUUUGGCAGUCCACUCGUGGAAACGCCACCUAUAACAGCUAUGUCAACCUACACCCGUGGCAGCUAUGUCAACGUCACCCGUGGCGCUUCCAACUAUGUUAACCUCCAUUUGUGGCAGUCGUGUCAACGCCAUCUUUGGCAUUUCCAACUAUGCCAAUGCCACCCUUGGCACCUCCAGCCAUGUCAAUAAUUUAGGCCUAAUUGCAUUGUUUAAUGGGCUUUAGGGCUAGGUCCACUUAAUAACUUAUAAAUAGGAUUCUUAUGUAUAGAAUUAGGGGUUGAUUCAUUAUAAUUACUCAACUCUAUAAUUGUAUAACUCCACAAAUAAUAAAUUCUCUCGGAUUUCUCUCUGUGGAUGUAGAUCUUAACGAUCAAACCACGUUAAAUACUUGUGUUAUUUUUAUAUUUUUAUAUAUAUUAUUUAUGUUGAGAUUAAUUCCACACUCAUCAAUUUUAUUUAUUUAUUUAUUAUUAUUGCACCCAUAUUUGUAAUAGUAUAAUUAAAAAAAUAAAUUAUUUGCUUAGUUAAAGGUUAUGUGUUUUUUUCAAUAUAACACAAUAAUUAUUUAUUAUUUUAACACAAUACAAUAUUAAUUAAUAUAUAAUUAAUUAACGUUAUAAAAAAAAGACUACAAUAAUUUACCCCGUGCCGCACGGGUGAAAUACUAGUUUUACAAAUAUUAUCUCCCAACUUGGGGUUUUGUUUUUAAUCAUCUUCAUUCAUUAUUCGCUCACCUAAAAUAUGUUAAACAAACAAAUGUUAAAUGGACUACACUAUGAGUGAGUAAUUUACUUUACUUUUUCGAAUUAUGAGUGAGUAAGUUGUCGAUGAGUAUGUAUGAUUUAUGAAUAUGUUAUCAUCAUUCACGAUCAUAGUACAAAAAGAUUCUUACAAGAAUGAAAAAUGGCGACGUCAGUAAUCUAUAAUUUGGAGCUUUCUUUUUGUACGUAUGCAUUGCUGAAAAAGAUAAAAGAAUAUCAAAACAGUCAUAAAAAAUGAAUUCAGUAGAAGAAUCAUAGAAAAUGAGCGACGUGGUAAAUGCUAGUAUUUGAAAAGUGUAAAGAUGUACUAUUGCGCAAUAGUGACGUCAUAAUAUCCAGUCGAGCCGAAUCUUGUGUCAAAUUCCGACAAAAUAGUAAACCGACGCCGCUUCCGCACUUUUUUUCAUGUUGUCAUUUGACCCUGCCUCAUAUUGCCCUUUUAUUUUCUUUCUUAUCCUCUCUUAUUUCAAACAAGGUACAUCUAAGAAAAAUUUGUGUAUUUAUUUUUUAUUUUGAAGAGUUGCAUAUUCCCUCCGUCCAGUCCAUCAAAGAUAUGUUACCUUACUUUUGACACGAAUUUUAAUAAAAUGUGAGUGAAAUUGAUAGUGGAAUGAUGUGGACCAUACUACUAAAAAUAGAUGUGACAUAUUUUUUGUGGACGGACGAAAAAGAAAAUUGUGGCAUAUCUUUGGUGGACGGAGAGAGUAUUAAUUAAGUAUUACUACAAUGUUACUUAUUUUUAAAAAUUUUGAGCCGAAACCUCAACGUUUAAGGUUAUGGUUGAAAAUUUUUACCCCUAAAUUUUUUCAAUCCGAUUAGCUAUACCCAAAUAAUCCGACAAUUCAAUAGAAAUCUGAUGAGUUGGUCCGAUUAACAUCCAUAAUUAUAGCUAGCUAUAGACUAAUCAAAUAUGAAAAAAAAUGUUUUUUUUCUAAUAAAAAAGAUUUAGCUAAAAUUGAUCCUCAUAUAUAUAAUUGAAUAAAUUUAAAUAUGACAAAAUUGUGUCAAAUUCUAAAUUUUAUCCUAAGUUUCACAUAUAUUUUUGAGGUGGUCUUGAAUACAAUCGAGUGUACCGUACAAUCAGAUUGCACCCUCACUUAGACCCUGACCUGCAUUCUGAUCUGAACUCGUAUCCUGACUCGAAUCUUAUAAAUAAUACUCCCUCCGUCCGUCAAAAGUGGACCACUUUGGCUAGGCACGAGAAUUAAUAAAAUUGAUGAUAAUUUUGAUGUAGUGGAGAAAGGGUCCCUCCACUUUAUAAGAUGUGUGGUUGAGAUUGAAUUUUGGUAUAUUUUAGGUGUGGAUCAACCCGAUUGUAUCCUAAUUUUUGUGUAUAGUUUUUGUAAAAAGUUUUAUAAUAUUUGGACUAAAAAUUUGAUCAAAUUUUUUAAGAGGUGGUCUCCUGUAUAACCGGGUGUAAAUGACACUAACACUAUCUUAGAAUGAUACUAACACUAUUUUGUUUUAUAAAUGAUACUAUCAUGUUAUAUAAAUAACAUUAUAUCUCGAAAUGACACUAACACUAUAUUGAAAUGACACUAACACUAAAUGAUACUAUCAUGUUAUCGAAAUGACACUGUAUACCUGAGUAUGCCGUACACCUGAACGUACAAGAGAUUUUAUGAUUUUUUAAUUAGUUUGCGUCCAAAAUUCAGUCUACUAAUUUAGUACCAACCCACGACCUAAAAGAUGGGAACUAUAAUUCCAGGACACGAAUGAUUGAAACUUUCCAUCUAAAACUAAAAAGUGAUUUAUUUUUACUCUUUUUAUUUUUAAAAUACUUUAAACAAAUAAUAAACGAAUAGCUUUGAUUGAAACUUAAUAGAAAAAAUAAUUGGUAUACAUGAUUUUCUAGUCACAAGUUAAUAUGUUCAACCAUUAAAGUCAUUAAGUGGAUACACAUUUUCAAUAUCAUUUUUAUCAUCAAUAAAUACCAUCACACUACAACAAAAAUCUUCUAAUAGGACUCUCAUAAGUGUCCUAUUAUGCAAUAUAAUAGGACUUUCCCUUGUAUGGGACUUUUCCAAAAUGAGUCCUAUUUGUGCUAGUCACAAUAAGUCUGAUAGGACACAUGCGCAUGUCCUAUUCUAGGACGCUUCAUUUUAGGAUGCUCAAGAGUGUCCUAUUAAAAGUUUACCAAAAAAUACAUAAUAGGACAUUUUUUGCCGUCCUAUUAUAGGUUGAUUGGAUUCUCUUAUUUUAGGAUGCUAGGAGGCUUUCAAAAUACAAUUAUAAUAUGAAAAUAAUGCUAUAAUUAAGUUAACUAUUAUUUUCUAAUAUCCACGACAUUUUACGUAACAAUAAUACAACAAAUAUGAGAUCAAUCCCAAUAUAACAAUGCUUUAUUUCAAAUCUGAAAUUUCAAAUAUCACCGAGGAAUAUUCUGGUGAAGGAACUCAACCAUGAGUAAAAAAUUUAUUACAUGGUGUAUAUUAUAUCAACUAUUUUAAAAUAGGUUUCUCUGUGGUACCAACUGUCUUAGAAUGGAACCUCCAGGCUCCACUUUUAAAGCUAUUCAGCUUCUCAUCAAUCCAAAUAGUCAUUAGCUUUCACCUAAAAUUUCCAAGAAGAACCUAAAACUUAUCAACAAGAGGAACCCUGUGACAAAUAUGAAGAUCAAGAAAGUGUUAAAUAAUCAAAUCAGAUAUAUUCUUGCAUCUUCCGGCUCCACAUGAGAAUAUAAGAGUAAAAUAAGAGGAGCUUAGAUAUAUACUUGCAUAUUACCAAUGAGCAGAGCAAAUAAGCGGAGUCCCAAAAUGGCUACUGCUAUAGAAAACAAGACUUCCCUGAGAUGCUUACUGCCCCCUGACCGAGUGUGCUGCACAAAAAUUAAAAUAAUAUCAGUCAUGAUACAUAUACAUUCUCUAAAAUCAUUAUCUAAGGCAUGAAGUAGGUCUGACUACAUUACUCAUUGUGUAUUCACCAAAGUAAACCAUCUUUAAACAUAUAAAUAAUAAACUACAGAUAAUCAUGGUUAGGAAUAUGAUUUAAAUGAUCCGUAAUAUAGCAAAGACACUGAGUUUGUAUCCUGUCCCUGUUAGUUUCCCACCAAUGCUUGGCAUGCACCUCUCCAAAUUUUUCACGGCUGAAACACAUCAACAUAGCUAUUAACCAAGUGAAAAGGCUAUCUAUCUAUGGUGAGCUUUGUAUGAGAAAUGGUGACCUGAAUUUGACAUGCCGAAGCUCUCUAGUGCCAUCAAGAAGCUGUCUGAUGGUGAUGUAUACACCAAGCUCAUCCUCCGCUAUCCAUUCCGAUUCAAUGUCACUGGCAUAGAUACGCAAUAUUAUAAAUGAAGCAACAUGAGAUUAGAAAUUUUAUCAGAUUUAUGCAUAGAUAUAUUAAGUGCACAUAAUCUUCCAUUACCAAAAAGGUUGCGCUGCUAAUAAAGACUAGUCAUAUUUCCAUAACAAUAAUAACAUAUUUAAAAGUGAUAGUGUAUUAUUGCAACCACUCCACAAUAAGGACAUUCCAACUCUUGCCAGUCAUCUAUACCUUAGCAAAAUGGAAAUGCAAAUCGUCAUAUACGUUAUCAUCUCAAAUUUCAUGAGUUGGAACUACCACAAAUGGUGUAAACAGAUAACUGUUGCAGAUCGCUUCAAAAAACAAAAAGAUAACUUUAGCAGAUGCAAUCAUGCAAGGAGAGCUCAAAAUUACUCGACCAGGCCAAAGCUGAAGAAAUUACCUCAGCAAUGCAGUUCUUAAGAGUUAGGGUUUCACCUUCAACAUCAUAGCAAUAAUACAAACUCAACGGAUAUGCAAGUUUCAUACAACAUAAACCAAACACAAGAAUACCAAAAGCCCAGAAGAUAUUAGUAUAUGAAACAAACAACCUAUUAGCUCCUUUCUAAAAUAAUUAGCAUUAGCUUUCCCUAUUCAUCUUUUACUAUAAUUUGGCAUUCUCUUUCUGAUAGCGUGACACUAUAAGAUUGUUGAGAAACGGAGAUACAGAACAACGGCAAGUUCAACAAAUACAUGUGAAAUAAGAAAGACAACAAAAGACAGACUACUACCGCUUAAACAUGAAACACAUUUUCUUCUUCAAGGAAAUGGAGAUAGUUCGAGGGAGGGAGUCACAAAGUAGUUUAAGGACUCUUUUUAGUUAUUGCUUUCAUACUUGAGACUACGAAAUCAUUUGUAACAAGUUAAUUUACAACAUAUAACAUGAAUUCCAUGUGCAUCUCUAACUAUCUCUUGUGAAUGAACAUGACAAUGAUCACAAUAACUAACCUGACAAUCUUCUCUUGUUGGUAACUCAUAAUCCAGCUCGCAUGAGAAUUGUAGAAUAUAGAAUUCUGAUUAGGUUGUAGAAAAAUACGCUCCUGGCUAGCUCCACACUUGUCUAGCAAAUCAAACCCUGGAUAAACAUGCCCAACAACUCCCUAUCAGAAAAUUCGAUGAAAUUGACAAAACUAAAUGAAUUAAACACAGAACACUGAAACAUAAACAUCCUUCAUCAUCAAUCAACUCUUUUUUAUGAUAGGACAAAACAAGCAUCAACCCCAUAAGCAAAGAAGAAAAAGUACAAGAAAGCCAAAUGUAAGAAUGUUUCGCAGAAGCAAAAACAGCAAAAGUAAGCAGAUAAUAGUCAAACAAAAAGCUGAAAAUCCACUACACCAGAACUCACCAGUUAAGAAAGCACACACAUGAAGUCAUGAGUCGUUAUAAAUUACUCCCUCCGUCCCGCGAGUCUUGACACGUUUGGGUUCGGCACGGGAAUUAAGGAAUUGUAGAUUAGUGUUUUAAGUGUGUAAUUAAUAAAGUAUAAAAUUGAUAAAGUAGGAGAGAGAAUGUAAUAAAAGUAGAUAAAGUAGGAGAGAGAAUAUAAUAAAGGUGAUAAAGUAGGAGAGAGAAGGUAAUAAUUAUUGCCCAAAAAGGAAACGUGUCAAGAUUCGUGGGACGGCCCAAAAAGGAAAACGUGUCAAGACUCGCGGGACGGAGGGAGUAUAAAGACUUCGUAUACCACUGCCUGCUCUUUUUGUGUGAGUGUGUGUGAGAGAGUGUGAGAGAAGAGGAAGGGGAGAAGAAACAUCAAUAUUGGAGAAAAUUAAACCAUCAACAUAAAAUGGAGUAAAAAAUUUAAGAAGAAAUUUAGUCGAACAUACAGAGGAUAACACCAGAGUAACCGAUAAACAAUUAGAGAUGAGAAGUUACCAUGGUUGAGGAAGUGGCGAGCUGAGCGGGGGAGCAAGUUCAGAACGCCAAAAUCGUCGACAUUGCGACAGAGAUCUUUCACAAAGGAGAUAAACCUAUUUCCACAUAUAAGAAUUAUAUAUAUAUCAAAGUAAGAUCGACAAUAAUUCUUCAUUUUUGAAGGAAAAUUCGCAAUAGAGCACUAAGAAAUAAAACGCGGAAAAGUAAACACGAAGAUGAAGAGAAGCAUAACGAAACCAUUUAAAGUGAAAAUCGACAAUGCAAAAUCACAGCUUCUCAUCGGCGAUAGCGCCAAAUCGCGGACGUUUGGAUUGGAGAGCAAAUUCUCUUCGAAGAUGGAAGAUUUCUGGACGUGGAUUUGAGAAUUUUGCCGCAUAAGGGUUUUUCUUUUGGAAUUGGGGGGAAAAAAACGAAGAGAAAGUUGGACAACUCUUUUUGUUCUUUUCAUUUUGUCUUUUUUUUUUUAUUUUUUUUCUAAUUCUAAUUUAUGAAUUAAAGGAAUUUAAUUUUUAUUAAAAAAGAAUUCAAAAGAUUUAUAAUAGACCGCACCUAUGGGUUCGUGUUCUUUGAAAGUUAAACACUGUAGUCUAAGCAUUGUAUAGUAGUAGUGAGUAGAUUGGAUAAGACAUUUUAAAACAAAAGUCCCAUUAAAUACAUUAUAGGACUCUCAUCAUGCAAGAGUCCUCAUAUAAGCAUCCCCAAAGGCUGAUUUUGUUGUAGUGUCAAUUACAGAAACAGAAAUUACAGGAAGAGAAACGAAUAAAAUCCAUCCACAAGAAAUUGAGGAGACGCGACGAAGGCUUUCGAUGAGGCAGUACAAUACGAGGGAGGCUCUCAAUUUUUUCGUGGGGGGCGAUGUUUUUGCAAUGAGGGAUGGAGGUUUGUGGCGGCAGUAGUGGUAGCUGGUCGUCAAUAGAAAAAUAUCAAUUAUAUCAUCGAGCAGCAAGGUGGAGAAAAUGGUUGAUGCAAGGGAUAUUUUGGUCUAUCAAAUUAUAAUCAUGAAUACUGUUUAAAUCAGUGUUGUGUAUCCUGGGGUGAAGGUGGGUUAUGGUUUUCAAAGAGAAACAGUAAAUAUCACCAUUUCCCUACACAAUUUCUACAUCAUUUUCUUUUCAAUUCAUCUCCAAUUUUGAUUUCCUCUCUCAUUUUUCCCACAUAACAAAAUGACUUCGUUUAGCUCUUCUUCUUCUUUCGAUUAAGAGAGCGAGAGAAUUGUGGAAAUGGUAGUAACAGAACAUUUCAUCAACCAAACAUCAGAAAGAGCGCUCUCAACGAGGGGCUUUGUGUAUCGUGAUCGUGAGACCGCAUAUCAAUGGCUACUUCAAGAUUAUUUACAACGGCGAUUCGAUGUACUGUCCAACUUUUUUAAACGCCGUUCUCAGAUGCAGAAAGAUUUGUUUGAGCGCAUCGUUCAUGGCGUCCAGUAGGUGGAUAAUAUUUUCAAAUGGAAAAAGAUUGUACGGGUCGGGACUUGCUCACGCUGUUGCAGAAAUGUACGAUGACUAACUCAAAAUCUUAAAACAAAUUAUGUAAGUUAACAUAAUGAGUCAAACUAAUGCCAUAAUUGGCUCAUAAGUGGACUUAGGAUUAGGAAGCAUGGUUGAACCAACUAGAUGCUCAAUUAAAACGGAUGCUCUUAUUAUGAAACUAUAAUCUACCAUAAAUAAAAAAGCGGGAAAUAAGCGUUUGAUAAUAAUAAAACUAUAAAUUAUGAAGAUAAAAUAAAAAAAUUCGGACAGCAGUAUUCGUAUAACUGGAAUAAAAGAAAGGAGAAAAAGAAAAGGACAAGAAAACGGGAAAACGGACAAACGUAAAUGAAUCGCCGUCAGUUUGAUAACAACAGCUUCUGAAUACACUGGGAAUUGAGACCCCAAAACUGAGAUUCCAAUUCCAUUGUCCUCUCUCUCUCUCUCUCUCCAGACAGCAAUUCAAUUCACCUCGUGACAUGACACCCCACCCCCCCGAAAUUCACGACAUUUUCUCACUCACCCGAAUCAAUCCCAUUAUUUCCACACCUUAAAUACUCAUCAUCAAUUCUUCCUCUCCUCUCUCUCAAUUCUUCUUGGCCUCUCCUCGUGUGGCAUCUCGGCAGCGCGAUGUCUAUAUAAAUAGAUGAUAAGGGACUUCAUGCUUGCAAGGAUUUUCACAUCACUCACCACUCAACGUGAGUUGCUUGUUGCACAAUUAUUUAAAUCUUGGAUUAAAGUUUCUGUCUUUCAACAAUUUCUACUACUUUCAACUUUAAAUCUAUGGCAUUGAUCAUUCGUACAUUACUUCGUUUGUCAUUGAUCUUGUUGAGAUGGGAGAUGGGAUUUUGAUUUCUGUCUGAACUUGAUGUUUUGGAAACCUUUCUUCUAUGCAAGUUAAAUGUACUAGUGUUUAGCUUUUCAGUUGAUCUGGAUUUUUGCUUUGGGAUUUUGUUUCCAAGGGAAUUUGAUAACUUUAAUGUGAUUUUGCUAGUCUAAGGAUGCAGGGGCGGCUAGCAUAGCAAGUAAAAUUUACUUGUACGACUUGAUGAUCAUCGAUUGGUUGCGUUGUGUUGUUUGUGAGAAUAACAUCGAUAUCUAUGUGUUGUUGUAUCAUUUGUGUGUCGAAAAAGUGUCUAAAUUAUACUACUAGAGAGAGAGAGCCAUUGCUGUGAAACUGGGAUACAAGUAGAGGAGAAGAGAAACUAAUGCUUGAUUUAAGGCAAUGACUAAUAUACUGAGAGUGCUUUUGCUUGAUAGGUUGUGUGUCUAUAUGUUUCGUUUCAUGUUUUAGGCUAUUUGGAAGAAAUGUGUUUAGAGUGAUCUUACAAGUCCUGAUUCUUGUCUUGGCUGGGCAGAUAUGCUACUACAAUUAAGAUAUAUUGUGCGUUUACCAUGAUCACAUACGACCAAGAUCCUGAUGUUAUUCGCUGGGGACUUAAGCUCUUUGAUGGUGAUCCUUAUUCUAAUUGUGGAUAUUGUGGUUCCAUCCCCCAACAUAACGCGGACCGCUAUCCGGGGCAUUAUUUGAAAGGAUAUCAGUAUGAGUCGGACUGCAAUUAUGCAGGAGACCAAAACCUUAAUGUAGACAGCCUUCACGACGAACUAUCACAACUUUCAGUGAUUGAACCAAUCAAGUUGUUCCAAGAUGGCAUGGAGCACCAAACUUCGUUUUGUUCACAGGACUGGUUUCCACAUUCAUUGGGGAACUACAGCUAUGUCGUUGAUGGUGUGCUGAUUUCUGAACGGAUUUUUUGCUUAUCCUAAUUUUGCCACCUUGGUUUAAUGGAUCUUCAUUCUCUUUGACUUGUAGGACAUGAUAGUCAACAUGAAGAAGAAACUGAUUUGGGAAUUUCUGCUUCAUGUUCUAGCCCAGGAGAUGAAUUGUACUGUGAAGAAGAGUGGUCGAAUUCACUAGAACUAAUGGACGAGCAUGCUUUUGAUGGUGAAGUAGGUAAAAGAUUGAACCAGAUGGCUUCUAUUCCUGUGAGUGUAGCUUCUAUCAAGCACUUAAUUGAACCAAUUUGGAUAUAUUUAAACAUUUGGCAUGCUUGGCUGCCAAAAAAACGAGAUAGGAAUUAAUUUAUCGCUUUACCAUGGACCUUAUUUCUGCAGCACAUUCCAAAAAUUAAUGGUGAAAUACCCUCAAUAGAUGAAGCGACUUUAGAUCAUCAAAGACUUCUGGACAGGUACCAUAGAUUUAUCUUUUUACAUGAGCUUUUGAUAUGGAAAAAAGUACUUCUCUCCAUCCCAAAAAUAUAUUCACUUCCCAUUUUCAGAUAUUUUGUCUUUAAUGUACUUGACAUGAAACCUUCCUACUAUACAUUAUUUACUAUUAGAAAGUAAAAUGAUUGCCAAUUGCAGAUAAUAUUAGAUUGGCAUAUAUUAAAGGAAAAAUAAAAUUCAUUGCUUUUUGCCAAAAUAAUGAGAUUUCUUUAUAGCAGCCUGGGGUGGAGGAUUUCUUUGCAAUAGCUUGUUUGCUAGUUUGGUCAAAAAAGAAAUGGUAUCUAUAUCUCUUAUGUCUAAUGCUAAUCAUAGUUGUCUCAUAAAUUUUUAUGCAUUUCCCAUCAUAACUAUUAACUUAGGUCAUGUUACAUUUUGUAGAUUACUGGUCUAUGAGCUGGUCGAAUUCAAGGUUCAAGGUGAUGGUAACUGCCAGGUCAGUUUUGUGCUCAUCAAUUUCUGCAUUUUCGUACACAUUUUCCAUUGUCGUUCAAAUAGCAUAAAACAAUUUAGUGCACCAGAUCUCUCAAACUUGAUGUUCUAUGAUUGCAAUGAUAUGUUCCCAAUAAUCUCAUUAAGUAACCAGAUUUGACUGACUGGAGCCUAUAAUGUUUCAGUUCCGAGCUCUGUCGGACCAAUUUUAUCGUACUCCUGAGCACCACAAAUUUGUCCGAGAGCAGAUUGUAAAUCAGGUUAGCAUUUUCUUGUCCAUACAUCUCCUUAAAACUUGAGAUUGAUUUUCUUGGGCUAAUGUUUCAUCUGCCGCAUUCUAGCUUAGGUCUUUCCCAGAGAUCUACGAGGGAUAUGUGCCCAUGGCUUAUGACCAAUAUCUGACAAAGAUGUCCAAGUACAUAUAUCUGCACUUCAUUUAUUGAUGAUUCAUUUUUGUGCCUAUACACGACUUCUAACAAGACGUGAAUGGCCAUCAGGAACGGAGAGUGGGGAGAUCAUGUCACGUUGCAAGCUGCUGCAGAUUCUGUAUGUUUACCUUGGUCAUUCCUUUUUAUAUUUCCAUAUUCGGUAAUGCGUCAUAUGGUGAUAAUAUACGACAUACAUAGAUCUGAUGUUACAGAAAAUAAGGCCUCCAUUUAUUGUUUCUGCAGUUUCUAGGAUUGUUUUAACUCUGUUGUUUGAUCAAGUGUCUCGGCCACUGAUUGUCGUUCUUCGUUUCCUGCAGUAUGGUAUAAAAAUAUUUGUCAUCACGUCGUUUAAGGACACCUGUUACAUUGAGAUCCUCCCAAACAUUCAAAAGUCAGAACGAGGUAAAAUUACUGGGAAUUUUGUUGCUUUUCUACCGUUUGCAUAAUUUCUUGGCACUAAGGAUGGUUGAACGAACUUAUGUUGCGUGUGGUGCAGUUAUUUUCCUGAGCUUCUGGGCCGAGGUUCAUUACAACUCGAUAUAUCCUGCCGGAGGUACUCUCGUGUUUCGUACUGAAAGUGAAUCAGACUUUUAGCAUACUCAUUUUCUUCAGCAGUCAGCAAGUAGAGUUUUAGUUGUAAUUUUGCGAGAAGCUUGUAUUGUUGUGCAGAUUGCCCGACGUUUCAGACAAAGAAGAAGAAGAGGUGGCUGGCUGCUCAACACGAACACGUCGAAUUACCAGAAGACUGUAACUAAUGAAUGGCAAUGGAAAUCGACGCCAUUCAUAACCUGCAACUCUACUACCAACCCAACAAGACCCCUCAUUCUUUCUCAAUAAUAUCUAAUUCUCUCUUAUCUGGAUCUAUGAGAAUCUUUGUAUUUAGUUGAUGCACUUUUAUUAACAUAUUUCCAUUCUAACUUGCCAAUAUCGAUAAUCCUUGCUUAUUUUUAGGUAUUAUUGCUGCAGAUUUUCCAACUUAAGGUUUCAAUAUAUGAACAAAAUGGAAAUCACACUGGAAUUAAUGUGUGAUAUUUCUGUAUAUUGAUUUUUAAAUAAAUGUUUCUGGACAUACAUGAUUUAUGAAAAAAUGUGUCUGUUUUUAUUUUUUAUUAUUAUAUAUAUAUAUAUAUAUAUAUAUAUAUAUAUAUAUAUAUAUAUAAUAUUAAUUUGAAAGGGUAUUUUUUGCAAUGAAUAUCGUAAAGAGUCGUCUAUGCGAUCAAAUGAUAGAUAAACAGAUGAAUAAUAGUUUGAUUGUAUAUAUUGAGAAAGAGAUUUUUAAUAAUCGGUGAUGCAAAUGUUUCAGUCAAUGAAAACUCCUAAUUCGUAAAUUUUAAUUUUUAUAUACUUGAAUUAUUAUGUUAUACUCCCUCCGUCCCACGAAUCUUGAAUCAUUUUUCUUUUUUGGCCGUUCCACGAAUCUUGAGUCAUUUUCUUAUAUGCAAAAAAAUUCUCCUUUAUUCACCUACCACACUUAACACACUAAAUACUAUUUUCUUAAUUCUCGUGCCGAAAAGAAUUUACUCAAGAUUCGCGGGACGGAGGGAGUAUUUUUUUUAAAACGGGAGUAAUGUAUAGUUUGUGCCCACAUAAUAAAAAAAAUUCUGGAUUCGUCCCUGCAGGUCACACAGUCUUUAAAUUCAUUUAUUUAAUACUAUUAAUAGAAUGAUGAGUCACUUUAUUGGAUUUCUAAGUGAAAUAACGUCGUUUUAUUGGGUGAGGUGGAAAAGAAGUUCCACCUAAAAAUCCAACAAUUAAAUGAUGUUUUCGUAAAAACACGGAAAAUUAAGGGUUUUUGAAUAGAAAGGAAAGUUUGAGGAUAUUUUUUAGAAAAUAUUAAAAGUUGUGGGUACCAAACAUGAUUUACCAUAUAAGUUGUUAAAUAUUAUAUAUUUUCUUUACAUAAGGAAGGGGAGUUGUAGAUUUUGAACUCGAGAUUUUGCUGAUAACAAACUAAAGUUUGCAUUACUUGAAUGUUUAAUUAGGACACAACUAAUAUCAUCAACAAUAAGGACGUUAUUUUUCCCAAAGAAAAGAGACAUGAACUUUUGCGUAUUUUUCUUGAAAGAACGCAUAUAUAGUAGAGAUACUAGUGAAGCUCCUUAAUUUCAAUAAUCCAAUAUGAUUAACAAUAAGGACGUUAUUUUUCCCAAAGAAAAGAAACAUGAAUGUUUACGUAUUUUUCUUGAAAGAACUCAUAUUAGCAGCGGAUACUAGUGAAUUGAAGCUCCUUAAUUUAAAUAACAAAUAUGAUUGCGAUUUGUAAUGCAUAUUUUAAGGUUGGUGGCUGCUUGUUUUUUAUUUUUAUUUUUUUUGGACUUGGGAGAGCCAGGGAAGUGGUGGAGUUUGAACCCUAGAUCUCACUGUUUCACAGACAUGAGUUCACACCGCAUGCAAGUAAUUAAAACCCAAAAUAAAUUAUGUAUGUUAUUCAUUAUUGUGGAACUUAGUACGAGACACAAUAUUAAUUAGCAUUAGUCCCUGAAGCGUCGCGAUCGCGAAAUAUAAAGACGAUCAGAAAUUUUUAUCACUGCAUUUACUCAUUAUCGAAGGAUUCAUUCACCCUAGCUAGCUAGGUUUUCCCUGCAGAUUUUCAUUUAUGUUUCUGCUUUCUAAGUCUAGUGUGGAAACACAAGUAUUAUUUCUCUAAUAAUAUUUCAAAUGCUAUAUACUGACUGCGGAUUUAAUUAAUGAAAACACACACACACACUACAAUAAUGCUAUUUUUAAUAAUUCUUUUUAAGUAUAAAAUUAUAAGAAUUAAAAAAAAUUACAAUGUGGAGACAAAAAUAAAACUAACUAAAUAGUUUUAAAAUUUGAACCAAUUUUUUUUAAUAAAUUGAUUUUUAAAAAUAUACAUUUAAUUCUUUUUUUAUCCAACAUAUUUUUAUCUAAAUAGCACUAUUCAUAUAUAUAAGGAUAUAUCUAAAGGAUUGAGUUAAUAUAGAAAUCCUCCUUAAGAUAGGAACUAAGAAUCAAUAUCAUCCCUUUAUUUCUUUAAAAUUAACGGCUGUACGUGAUUCUUGUAUUUAUAUUGUAAAAUUAAAGGUGGUAAAUGCAUAAAUACCUUAUGCAAUAUGCAUUUUUAAAUUCCAUUUAAUUUGUUGAUUUUUUUUUUGUAUGGAUUUAUGGUUGCUGAAGUGAUAGUUGCAUACAUUGAUGCAUAUUAUCUGUUAUGCAUCUUAUUUACGUUUGAUGGCUCAAAAAAAAAAUUAUUGUGUAAAAACUUGUAACAAAUUUGUGUUUGCUUACGAGUGUCUGCUUAUAUUGUUGUAGCAUAAAUAAAUUGUAUUAGUUGCACAAAAAAAAAAAAUAUGAACAAAAUUUAUAUAAAAUUAUAAAUAAUUUUGUUCGAUUAAUUGUAUUUAUAAUUGUUACAUUAUAUAAUAUACGUAGUUACAUGCAAAGAAAUUGUAAAAUCUUGAUAUCUAUUGUUGCACAGUUUGAUUUUUGUUGCUACACAAAUACUGUUUGAUGCAUCCAUAAUAUGCAUAGUAAUUUUAUAACACACAAAUCUUAAAAAUUAGUUCUCAUUCCUCAUAUUAAAUAAGAUUUUCAUUAGAACUUUCCUAUGUCUAGAAUGAAUACGCGGAGUAGCCAAGAAUAGAUAACAUCUAAAUGUUCCGUUUCGAACAUUGUGAGCGGAUGUGGUAAAAUAGAAUAAAUUAAGGUUGCUAGCUAGGAACUGAUCAGGUAGGUGGUUGGAAGAGUUAUUAAUUACAUCAUAUUUAUAUCUAACGAAAUUAAGCACUUGGGGUGGUGUUUAUGUGUAUAGAAAUAGGGUAAAUAUCAUAUUUCCUCCGUCCUAUUUAUAGACUUGUUUUUCUUUUACAAAUAUUCCAAGUAUAUAGACUUAAUUUUAUAAAAAAUAAUACUCCUUAUUUAAAUUUUGAGUAAUUGGUGUACAAUUAAAUAUACAUGAACUUUUUUUUAGUAUUUAACAUGAACUUUAAAUUAUAGUUAUAUGAGCAAGUUUUUUGGUAUUUAAUAUGAAUUUUAAAACUUAGUUAUAAAUACAUAAACUUUAAACUUAUUCCAUUUCUGACUCAUUUUCAUUUUUUUCCAAAUUAAAGUUGACAUGAAAUGCCUGAAGAUUGACAUGGACAAUUGAAUGCUCUUAAAGAAUAAGAGCUUAUAAGCUUCCCCCAAAUAAGUUCCUCUACCUGAUCAACUUAUUUGUUUAUGAUCUUAUAUGCAACAAUUGUUUUACAAAUAUUUUUCAACUAUAAUUUAUUAUUUUCAUUAUAUAUCAUUCAAGUUUAUUUUUCUUCGAUUUUCUCUCUCUAAAAAAAUAUUUUCUCUUUCUGGCAAAAAAAUUCUCUCUCUAAUUUAUAAGCUCAAUUAUCCAAACACUUUGACAACUUGCAAGCUCUUAAAAACUACACCUUAUAAUUAAGUUGUUGGAACUUAGAGCACCCACAGUGGGUGAGUCACCCACUGUAUCAGGUCCCCCACUGCAACGCGACACGACUCGAGGUUGCCCCGAUUUAUCGGGUGAGGCCUGAUCUCCUUCAAUCAACACGCGACACACACGCGCCUAAUUAAAAAAAAUCGAAUUUUGAAUCAAAGGCUUCCAACGCCUUUUUCACCCUUUUUUAUUUUAUUUUUCUCUCAACGGCUUCAUAGCCGUUUCUUCAACUUAUUAUUAUUAUUAUUAUUAUUAUUAUUAUUAUUAUUAUUAUUAUUAUUAUUAUUAUUAUUAUAUAUCUCUCCCUCAUUUCUUCAUUCACACAUUCAAAUAAUUUUCUCUUUCAAUCUUCCUCUCUUUUCCUUCAAAAAAUGGAAUGGUUUGAUGAUACUUUGUCGUCUUCGUCUGACGAGGUAGCGCAGGUGAUCAUCGAUGAGAUCCAAGAGCAGAAACAAUUGAUUGCUCAAAUGUACUCGCAACCGGAGCCGGAACGUAUUGUUCAUCAUCGACAAUACGUCUACCGUGAUCGUGAGGCUGCCCAUUUACGUCUUAUGCAAGACUACUUCAAUGACAAUCCGACGUACGGACCUAUAUUUUUCCGACGUCGUUUUCGGAUGUAGAAGAAGUUGUUCUUGCGCAUCGUCGAUGCUGUGCAAGGUAAAGAUAUUUACUUCUAGAUGAGCCAUGAUGCACAAGGUCAGGACUCUCUCAUGCUUUUGCAGAAAUGACGGUGGCUAUCCGCCAAUUACCCAUCGGCGUCAGUGCGGAUACUUUCGACGAGUAUCUCAAGGUCGCCGACACGACGGGGCGUCUAUGCCUCAAGAAAUUCCGCAAGGUUGUCAUCCGGGCUUACGGAGCCGAGUAUCUUCGACGUCCUACGACGGCGGACAUCCAACGCCUUCUUCAGAUGCACGAGGCGCGACACGAAUUUUUUGGGAUGUUCGGGAGUCUUGAUUGUAUGCAUAGGACGUGGAAGAAUUGUCCAAAGGCGUGGCAUGGCGCAUAUACACGCGGUGAUCAAAGGGAGCCCACCUUGAUCUUGGAGGCUGUUGCAUCCCACCUUGAUCAAGGAUGUCGAACGUGCCUUUGGAGUGCUUCAAGCUCGAUGGGGAAUCAUUCGAAGUCCGGCGCGGGGUUGGUACGUCGAGCAUCUCAAGGACAUCAUGUGUUGCAUCAUUCUCCACAACAUGAUUGUGGAGAACGAAGAUAAAAGAGCUACCCAUUGGAGAGAUGACGACAAAAGACACGUGACAUCUAGCAGUGACUCAACGGAGAGUGCUCGAGCAACCCGGGUUUGUUUCGAGCAAUAUGUGCAUAGAGAUGCACUUCUCCGAGAUAGGCAGAUGCAUGCUCAACUCCAAAAUGAUUUGAUCGAGCACGUUUGGGCACGUUUCGGUCCCUUAGGGCCGAAAUAGUUAUUUUAGGAUAUGUUUUUAAAUUUGUUAUGUACUCAUGUAACAUUUUAUGUAAUUUUUAGGAUUUUCAAAUUAAUGCAAUUUAAAUUUGAAGUAAAUUGUGUUAUUUAAAUUAGUGCAAUUAAAUUUAAAUGAAAAAUACAAAAAUCAAAACUAAAAAGUUCAAGUCAACUAUCAAGUCACUCCACUGUGACCUCCUUACUCAAUGUAGUCCCGGCCCUCUUCUAUCAGGUCAGCUAUCAAGUCACCCCCACUAUGAAUAUUUUAUAAGUUAUUUAAAAUAAGCUUAGCUAAACACCCUCUAUAUCAAUACGCAAGGCCGCCCUGUAGACACGAGUUCGACUAACAAAAGUAUUACUACUAGUAGUUACGAUCGAAUCUUCCUCCUUGAUGUGGCGGUGGAGAGUCGGAAGAGACGGCGGCCGUUCGGAGAUGGAUGCAGGCUUAAUUAGGUUCGAUGUCCUGUAGACUAUCAAAUUCGAUUUGCAAAACAAAAUAUUGUGAAAUGAAUGUAUGAAUGAUAAUUUAAUUGUAUAAAUUGAUAAUGAUAUUUUUUCCAAUAGUAUAAUAUUGAACAAAUCUUGAGCGUUUUCAAUACGGGUACGGGGUACAUAUAUAUGAAUAUACCGGUUGUCACCUCUGUCUCAAUAUGCAACUAUAGCCUCACAAAUUAAAGCUUCCCAAUUUUGAUAUAUUAAAUCGCUUUUAAUUUAUUAUAGGGAAGUGUGUGUGUAUAUAUNNNNNNNNNNNNNNNNNNNNNNNNNNNNNNNNNNNNNNNNNNNNNNNNNNNNNNNNNNNNNNNNNNNNNNNNNNNNNNNNNNNNNNNNNNNNNNNNNNNNNNNNNNNNNNNNNNNNNNNNNNNNNNNNNNNNNNNNNNNNNNNNNNNNNNNNNNNNNNNNNNNNNNNNNNNNNNNNNNNNNNNNNNNNNNNNNNNNNNNNNNNNNNNNNNNNNNNNNNNNNNNNNNNNNNNNNNNNNNNNNNNNNNNNNNNNNNNNNNNNNNNNNNNNNNNNNNNNNNNNNNNNNNNNNNNNNNNNNNNNNNNNNNNNNNNNNNNNNNNNNNNNNNNNNNNNNNNNNNNNNNNNNNNNNNNNNNNNNNNNNNNNNNNNNNNNNNNNNNNNNNNNNNNNNNNNNNNNNNNNNNNNNNNNNNNNNNNNNNNNNNNNNNNNNNNNNNNNNNNNNNNNNNNNNNNNNNNNNNNNNNNNNNNNNNNNNUACUAUAAAUUUUGUUAAAUCAUAGGGUUAAUUGCAUGAAAAUACACGAACUUUAGUCACUUUUUCAUUCUGCACACCGACUUUGAAAUUUACAUUUUAAACCAUGAACUUUGCAUUCGUUCCAUUUUUUCCUUAAAAUUCACCUCCGGCCAUCGGAAAUCUGAGGUGGCGCCACGUGUAUGUGACACGUCAUUAAUGUGUGCUGACGUGUCUAAUAUUCUCUCUCUCUAAUACUCUCUCUCUAUCUACUUCUCUCUCUCUCUUUCUUUUCUCUCUCUCUCUAAUAUCCACCACCGUCGUCACAGCCGCCUCAGCCUCAGCCUCAGCCUCAGCCUCAGCCUUCUCUCUCAUCCCCAUGCACAAUCGCUGCUAAACCCCUAUUAUCAAACAAAAUUAUGGAAACGAGGAGAUAGAUCUUGAAUGGUGUGAAGACAUUGUUAAUCGUUUCAUAAUCGGUCCGUUGUGAUCAUGGCGGACAUAGUGAAGCAGAUCCUCGCGAAGCCGAUCCAAUAUGCGGACGAGGUGAUCAAGCUUGCGGAUCAGGCGAGUUUCAUGAAGGCGGAAUGCGGGGAGAUCAAGGUCAGGACCGAGAAGCUCGCCGGCCUCCUCCGCCAGGCCGCGCGAGCCAACGGCGACCUCUACGAGCGCCCCACGCGCCGGAUCAUCGACGACACCGAGCAGGUCCUCGACAAGGCCCUCACCCUCGUCUUCAAGUGCCGCUCCAACGGCCUCCGCCGCAUCUUCACCAUCACCCCCACCGCCGCCUUCAAGAAGGUCCAGCAGCAGCUCGACAACUCCAUCGGAGAUGUCUCCUGGCUCCUCCGCGUCUCCGCCCCCGCUGACGACCGCGACGAUGAGUACCUCGGCCUGCCCCCAUCGCCGCCAACGACCGCGACGAUCCGGAGAGUGUGGAGCACAUCGUCAACGCCGGCGUCUGCCAGGUGGUGGCGUGGGCGCUGUCGGAGCUCGCCGCCAACCACCGCAAAUGCCAGGAUCCCUUCGCGCAGCACAACGUCAUCCGCCUCCUCGUCAGCCACCUCGCCUUCGAAACCAUCCCCGAACACAGUAAAUACGCCAUAGCCAGCAAGCACUCCAUGAGCUCCAUCCACUCCAUUGUUAUGGCGAAUUCAACCCCAAAAAGUAGCGACGAAGGUGAAGAGAAGCACACGAGCGUUACCAAUCACCCCAUGGACAACCAAAUGCCUAGCCAAAUGCACAACAUCGUCACCAACACCUUGGCGAUGAAAUCCACCAUGUUGCCUAACAAAGGCGCCGCCGGCUCCCCGAGCCACUCCGACGCCGGCGAAAAAAGCGGCAAAGUUAGUAAGCAGCAGAACCAGUUCAUCAACCACCACCACAAGCACAAGAUGGUGCUUGUGGUAUGGAAGAAAUCUGGUAGAUGGACUCCAAACCCUACGGCGACGUGGAGACGGGUCUCGGCGGCGGUCCGUGCGGCGGCAGUGGCGGCGGCGGCCUCGAGUUGUGUGGGACGAGGGAAGCGCGGGGACGGAGGUGAAUAUUAGAGAGAGAGAGAGAAAAGAAAGAGAGAGAGAAGUAGAUAGAGAGAGAGUAUUAGAGAGAGAGUAUUAAAUAUUAGACACGUCAGCACACAUUAAUGACGUGUCACAUACGCGUGGCGNNNNNNNNNNNNNNNNNNNNNNNNNNNNNNNNNNNNNNNNNNNNNNNNNNNNNNNNNNNNNNNNAUAUAUAUUUCUUUCUUUCUAUUAAGUUCAAUUCUUCAAGUAGAACUACAAAUUGGAGAAACGUGUUAAUUUAUAGAUUACUUGAAUAUGCAAUGGAGGAGGCUUCACACAUUGUUCUGUUUUGUAAUAUGCAUACUGUAUCAAUGAACUCUGUAUAUUGUAAAGUAGAACAAUGCAUAUUAUAAAAUUGAACAAUUCAUCUCGUAACUAUAAAUCUUGAAAAACAUGAAUUUUCGACAAAAAAAAAAAAAAAAUUGGGGGAAGGGGGUGCGUGUAGGGGUGGAUGGGGAGAGGGAUAAAAAAAAUCAGAUUUGUCAAAAAAAUGCAAUGCAUUUUUUUGUACAAUUUAAUGCAUUUUUAUGUGUAAAAUUAUGCAUGUUUCUGUGUAAUAUUAUACAUGAAAAAUAAGUCAAUUUCAAAAAUCUUGAAAUUUUUUUUUGUUAAUAUUAAAAAAUUAUAUAUAGAUUUUAUCUUUUUGCAGAUUUUGCAUUGGAAGGCUUUGGAAGCUCCUUGCCAUGUGUCACUCUCCUAGCAUUUAAAAUUAGUGUAAAAAAAAAAUACUCUCUCUGUCCACCAAAAGUAUAACAAUUUUGAUGGACACUACAUAAAAUUGGUGGUGAUUUUUAUGUAGAGGAGAACGGGUCCCACCAUAAAAAAAUACUACAUAAAAAAAAAUACUAUCUCUCUCCUUAGCUUAUUCUUGGAUGCCUUCUAAUUUUUAUGAAUGUGUGGAAGAGAUGAUUUUUGAUGUGAAUUUCGGGUUAAUGUUGAAUGGUAGUUAUUCUGGUUUUGCUUUUGAUAUAUGUUUCUCGUUUGUGCAAAGAAGUAUGAGUUUUGUUGCAACACGGUUGUAAGUAAGUAAAAUGUGAUUUGUCCGGUAGAUGUUAGAGGGAGUGUUGUCAUUGUGAUUGCCUACGAUCGUAUCCUUAUAUGUGAAAUGUUUGAAUGCUGGAAGUAUUGACAGUUCUGAACAUCUGGCCAGCUCUGAAAAUCGUGGAAGCUAUGAGUCUCUGCUCCGCUAGUUUAACUAUGAGCAUGCGAAAUCACGUGAGAAGACUUUGGAUUACAUCCAAAUGGUUUUAUUCCACGAAUUAUGGCUCAACUGUUGAAAUCUAAGUGAUUAAGCACACAAAGUUGUGAAAUGGAGAUACUGAUUAUAAAGGCGAUCACAUUAGGGAAUUCACUUCUAGCGAAGAAUUGGGUCUGAUCGAAUUAUUUGCAUUACUACUGUGUUGCUUCUUAAACUUUAAGUUACUUGCAUGAUCUGAGAUAUAUGUGUUGAUUGGAAAAUUUUGAAUUGACUUGUUGAAUGUUUGGAUGGAAAUAAUCAUCGUGGAACACUCUCUUCCUUAGAUUCAUACUGAUUUUGCUUGAAGACAAGCAAAAGGCUAAGUGUGGGGGGGUUGAUUUAUGCCUAAUUGUUCUUAUUUUGG